rnacentral:lncRNA from 1 species
AGCGAGAGAGAUGCGGGAGCAUCGACGUCAGGAUGCAUUUACGAGGGUGAUGCUGAUGUCUGGAGAUCACAAAGAGCAAAAACACGGAGAGGCGAAAAAAAAAUGGGCGAAACAACGAUCUCGCCAUGGACUUUGUGAGUGAUUACUUCCAUUCAUUCCACUUUUGUUCUAACUCUCUCUGUUCUUCCACUCCAGGAACGCGAAAGUAGGAGACCCAGCACCGAAAGAAAGGAAAAACUUCGCGAUCAGUUACAACCGCAUCCCCUUAAGUCGUCUGCAAGCUCUGGACAAAUUCUGGGUGGUCUUGGCGGGAUUUGCAGCAUUUCCUUUCGCUCAUCCUGGCCGUCGAAUCCAUCCGACGGCAGCCAGCCGAGCACACUUGUCCUAUAGAGAAGGUGCUGUAAGGUUUUUUUUGUUUUUUUUUUUUGGUCCUUGUGAAUUUUAUUUUUUUUUUGUGUUUACGUGCUUGCUCUGCAGACAUGGUUGGUGCCAUUGCUGCCUAGCAAGUUGUUCGCCGGUCACCUCAAGAACAGGCUUUUGCUCGCUCCUUUUCUCGGCUCUUCCAACUUUUUUCUAAGUGGAAGAGCACUUUGAUCCGGAAGCGCCAGUAAUCUAAUCGCUAGCUCCAAUGCUGCCACGGAGUUUUCUAUCAAUCCAUCGCGAGAGGGGUGUGUUUGGCGCUUUCGAUAGCUCACGUCUGGCUAGCCAAGGAGCGCGAGUUUUUUUUGGAGAUCAUGGAUAGAAUUCACAAAGAGUGUUAUUUACCUGUGGAAUGGAGAGUACAAAUUUUUCUUUUCUUUACACGAGAGCGAGGAGGAGAAACACAAAUGCUGCACGCUCGAGAGAAUCGAGAGUGUUAUUUGGAGGGCGCUAUCCUCUGAUCGAGAGAACCAAGCGAUAGAACCAAAAAGAAAACGUUGGGAAGAACUACAACGAGAAAACGAGAAAAGGGGAAAAAACUGCUCACAACUUCCACAAACCUGGGGAAAAUGCUGCCUCGCCUACAAACAAUCUUAUGGAGGAAUCGAGAUCGCCAAAUGGAAGGAGGAGGAAGGAAUCCAGCGGAAAGAAAGAAAGAAGUCCAAGGAAGAACGACGAAGAACUCUUCUCCUCCCCGCUUUUGUGCUGCUGCUACUUAUACUAGACCAGUGAAAAAGAAUAAAAAUCCCUCCUUUCGCUCCAAUCCACCCCUCCCCAUUCCAUUUGGGCGAUUCCCUCUUCUCCCAUGCUCCAAUCUAGUAGGUCUUGUAUGGAUCCUCUGCGAGGAGCUGCCUGGUGGUGGCAUCCAUCUUCAAUCCCAGAUCCAUGACGUGCUGCUGCUCCGCGAGGGAGAGAUCAUCCAUCUCCAUCGCCGAAGACAUGGCCCCUGCUCCAAUUCGUGCUCCCUGCGCUGCCAUGGGCAUCGCCGCCGCGAUGACAAUGCCAAUCAGCAGCACCAGCGCUGAGAUCUUCCUGAGAAUCGCCUGCAAUGCCAUCGCGCCGAAGAGAUUUCGCUGCGGGCUGGAAAGAAAUUCUUCCCUCACUCUCUCGCACAGAGCUCUCUCUCUCUCUCCCUGGCGAAAUAGGGUAAGCCCAGGGCCGGGUAUUUAUCUUCUGCAAUUACUCCACGUCGAAGAAAUUACCCAGUCCCUCCCUGGGCCGGGGAUUUUCUUCACACACGCUGAGACACGCUCUUUGUUUUUACGUGGGGUAAGUCGCGAAGUCCCGCCAUUGGGCCAGCUGUCAAAGUCUCCUACUGUAACGUAGUUAUAUGUGUAACUACCAUUUUAGGUCAUCUUUUACGUUACAUUCUACGGAAUAUUUCCCUGCAUGACGACGGCUGAUCUCAGCCGUGGGUUCCUUAGCGUACGGCAGGCGUACGAAGGGGAUAUUCUUGGGGCAUAUGCUGAUCCCACGGCGGUCGCUGUGAUGGAGAUGGUUGUUGCGCCGGCUACGUGCCACGAUGGGAACGACGCAACAACGCAAAGUUUUAAUUUUUGUGCGACAACGCGUCUAUUUUUUUUUUUGGUACUUAGUUCUUUUCUAUUUGGAGUUCUUUUCUUUGGGUUUUUAUUCGCUACAACGUGUUUCCAAUGGGGACAGCAAUGCUUAACUUCAGUGUUUAUGGACGAGCUUGGGAAUUCUGUGUUGGCCUUUUCCUGGAGGGUUGGGCCUUGUCUAUAAUGAGUGAUUUCUUUGGUUGAGACGUGUGUUUGGAGACCUGGCGGUGGUACAAGGAACCCUAAAAAAUUCCUGGAUCUUGGAGCUUUCUAGAAACUUUUGGAUGGACCAAUUCAAAGCUCUCCCCUUUUCUUAAUUCGUAGAAACCCUAAUAGGAGGAACCCUAAAGCUAGCAUUUGCAUUUUUCCUAUCCUACAUUUGAUCAGGCUCUCUGCAGGGAAUGUCAUGAGCUACCAUCGAUCAAUCAACCCUCGGUCAGUACUGGAGGAACAUCCACUUCAAGAGAAUGCCUGUCGAAAAGCUCAAAGAACAACCAACCGAUCGAUCUCUCGAUCGCGAGAAAAGCGAGAAAAAGCUAACCUUCCCAGCGCGUCGCCUCGGAGCUCACCGCGAUCCCGGUCACCAGUCGCGCCGCCGCCGUGGCGCUGUGCUUGGGCACCAUGGACGAAAUCCCCCUGUGGAUCCUGGAAACAAAAUCUCCUUUGUGCUCGAUCGAUCGAAUCCAUGCACUGGAAAUUCACCUGAUCCUGGCGCUCGCCUGCCCCUCCGGCGAUGGGAUCGCGAUCGAUCGCCGCAGUGGCCGCGCGCCUGGAAUCCCGAGCUGGGGAAGCCUCCUCAAUUCUAGCCGCCUCAUCACUCUUGCCGCCAUCGCUUUUCUUCUAUAGAGCUUAUAAACCCUAGGGUUUUAGACUAGGGCUAUGGCAGCGGCCAAUGUAGGUCGCAUGGCGGGGCGCUUCGCCUUCCGCGCUCGCGCUGCCAGGCCGCAAUUCCAUCCCAGGUCCUCCGGCGCCCAACCGCAGUACCAGUUCCAUCGAUCGUUGCCUCGAUCGUUCGAAGAAGCUCGAAUCAAGACCAGGUAUACAUUUAUUUCUCUUCUGGCAUUCUUUCGAUCGAAUUGCCAGGCUUCGUCGGGAGCUCGUGUCGCUGUUUCCUUUGCACAAUGCCACGGCCUCGUCCAGGCUCGUCUCGCUGAUUUCCGGUGGAUCCAAGAGCCUAGAAUGUAAGGAAAAUUCUUUCUUUGUCUUUGUUUGCUAUGAAGCUUGCUUGCAUUGUUGUUUGUUUCUUCCCUUCGGAUCUGGGGGUGGUCUCUCGCGCUUUCUUGCGGCAUUUUUUUUUUUUUUUUUCAUGCGCGUUUUCGGGUUGCAGGCAUUUUCUUGAAGUGGGUGUCUCUCGAUAAUUUCAGGCCGCUGCUACAGUCGAGGGGACGAUGAUGGCUGAGUCUCUCAGAAUUUAGCACACUAUCCUUGGAGUCCAUCGUCCGUUGUCACAGAUGAAUCUGUGGCUUUAAUUUCCGUGUUUUUUCUUUCCUGUUCUUGUCUUCCCUGAGCUAUGAUCACCAGCUAGAGGUACCUGUAUCAACCCAGGUUUUCAGGCAAAACGAAUUUUUUCAUUUCGUCGAGCUUUUCUAGUGCCUUUGUAUUUCCCUGUUUCUGGAUGGUGGUUCAUGUGUUGUGUUUCUCUACCCAGGUUGGCUCCAGCACUGCCUAAGGUCUCCGAAAAGCGUAGCGUCAGAACCGUCACGAGAGCAGUGUUUUGAAGCAUCAAGGUUCUCUCUUCUUUUCAUUUCGUUGUUCUUUCGCUUCUUUUCCAUGGCAUGUUUUACUGGUCUCUUCCUGCCAGGUGAUGCUAUUGAAUUCUUGAGGUGCGUGGAUAGUCUUCUUUGCUUGUUGACAAGAUUGGCGAGAGUUUAUCAUCGCGAAUAACAAGAGCUUUUUCUUCAGUGUUAUCUCUCGGCCAGUCGGCAUUAAGUUCCCAGUCAGAAACGAUAAGAGAGGGUGUGGGGUUUAGACGUGUUUUGGCUAUGGCUGCGAGAUUGGUGGUAGCAGGGCGAGUAGCAGCUCCUCCCGCCCGACUACUUUCGCCCUCUCCUCGCGUCCAUCGAGCUACAUUCGUCACAACGUCCCGCUCUUCUGGUGGUUUUCAUUUGGAGCAGGAUGGAUUAUCCUCUUCCAGCUCACGGUCUUCUUGCUUUUCCUCCUUCCAGUUCCUGUUUCUCGGUCUCUCACGAAAAAGCUUGUUUGUCCUUCCAGGUCUGCUGUACCUUUGUCCCCUGUCCCCAAGAAACGUAAUGCUACGAGGAUUUCGCUGGGAGCAGCAGUGCUUCGCAACUUUCAAGGUUUUGCUCGCUGUAAAUGCCUCGGUGAGGCAUUUUAAAGAGUGUCUAGCUAAAAGUUCGAGUUUUUCUCCAGCAGGAUUCGAGCAUUUCAGCCGUCUCAAGGAUGAUGGGUGAUGUAGUAAGAUUGAUUCGUUUCUCAUUUACUCACUGUGUGCUCUUACAGUUGAGAAGAAGAACAAGAAGCUAUGGAGGAUGCCAAUCUCUUGACUUGUAGCACGGUCACGGUUUGACGAAAUUUGAGCUCUUUUUCUUUUUGUUCUACUGAGGGUUUGAUAGGGUUUUGUAGCUUAGGAAUGCAGAGGAUUUCCAGUCCAGACGUAAGGAGCUCCCAACAGCGCACGCUCGAGAGACUGGAAAAAGCCAAGAGGAUUUUCAUUCUGGUGUCCGAAUUGAAGGCUUGCAGCAGCUCUAAGGACUUGGACAGAGGUAGGAAAAUCCAUGCCCGAGCUGUAGCAACUGGAGAGAGCUCCAACAUCUACGCAGCGACAACUCUCAUCAACAUGUACUGCAAAUGUGGAAGCCUGGUGGACGCUCGCAGCGUGUUUGACAGAAUGCCACUUUGCAACGCCGUGGCAUGGACUGCUCUCAUGCUGGGUUAUGCGGAGAACAGCUUGGAGGAACAGGCCUUGGAACUCUUCUCCGCUAUGCAGUCGCGGACAUUUAGCUGCGUCCCUGACUCGCGCACCUUCGUGGUGGCUCUCAAGGCGUGUGUUGGACUGGCAACGAAGGAAGCUGUCCAGGACAUCAACGGGAAGCUUGUGAAGAUGAAGUCACUGGAGAAAGGAAUGGCUGUUCACCACCAAGCCGUAAGAGUAUUACAGGGAGCUUUAGCUAUAGCACAAGAUAUCUACCUGGGAAGUGCGCUCGUCAACUUUUACGCAAGAUGUGGGGACUUGAGCAGCGCUAGCAGAGUUUUCGACGAGAUGUCGAGCCGGAAUGCUGUCGCCUGGAACGCUCUGAUGCUCGGGUAUACGGAGAGUGGCGAUUCGGAGCGGGCUUUGGAGCUGCUGGAACGGAUGCUGGGCGAGGGUUGCACUCCCAACGCCAGGAACUUCGUGGCGGCGUUGAAGGCCUGCUCGAGUUUGGCCGGGGACGAGGCUGGCAGCAAAGUCGAUGGGAAACUCGUCAAGGUGGUGUGCUUGGAAAAAGGCGUGGCCGUGCACUCGCAGGCCGUCAAGUAUGGCUGCGAGGCGGACAUCUUCGUCGGGAGCACGCUGGUGGACGUCUACUCCAAGUGUGGAAGCCUCCUCGACUCUUGGAGAGCUUUCGAGCGAAUGCCGAGGCGGAACGCGGUGUCGUGGAACUCACUGAUGCUGGGGUAUGCCGAGAACGGGGAGCCGGAAGCAGCACUCGAUUUGUUUGUCCGCAUGGCCAACGAAGAAGACGAAGCUAGUCCAGACGAUCGAAGCUACGUUGCCGCGCUCAAAGCCUGCGUUAUUCUGGCAGCCAAGGAAGAGGAAGGCCGCGGAGAGAAGCUGGUGAAGGUGGCAGCGCUCGAGAAAGGGAUGGCUAUUCACGCUCGAGCUGCGAGUAAGCACUUCGAACGGGAUAUCUUCGUCGCCAACAUGCUCGUGGACAUGUACUUCAAGUGUGGAAGUAUGGCGGACGCUUCCCGAGUCUUCGGCAGGAUAGAGAAUCCGACAGUGGUUUCCUGGACGUCGUUGAUACUGGGAUACAUCGACAACGGCGAAGGAGCUCUGGCUCUCAGGCUCUUCGAUCAGAUGCAAGCUCGGGGUUGCCGGCCGAGUGCUCAGACUUUCGUGGCCGCGAUGAGAGCUUGCACUUGCGAGGCUUCGAAAGAAGGUGGCGAUGGGAAGCUUGUCAAGAAGAAACAGUGGCUGCAGCGCGGGAUGGCCGUCCACGAUCAGGCAGUAAAGCGGGGACUGGAAUCCAACAUCUUCGUGGCAAGCGCAGCGGUGGAUCUCUGCUCCAAGUGUGGCAGCAUGGACAACGCCCGGAAGAUCUUCGAGCAAAGUCCCUCGAGCCACGGUUUGGCCUCGUGGAACGCACUGAUGCUCGGCUACGUGGAGAACGGCGACGCAGCAUCGGCACUCGGCUUGUUCUCGCGGCUCCAGCGGCAGAAAAACUCGUGGAGCUCGUCACCCAACGCUAGAACUUACGCUGCUGCGCUCAAGGCCUGUGGAGCUCUCGGUCUUCUCAGCUCAACCAAGCUCGUCCACGCGGAGAUCUGCCGCUGCGGAGCCUCGUCCGACGCAGUGCUGGCCAACUCGCUCGUCGACGCCUACGGCAAGUGCGGCGGCCUCGACCACGCGCAGCAAGCUUUCGACUCCAUCGCCAGCCCGGACGCCAUCACCUGGAACGCGCUCAUCACGUCUUACAGCUCCCAGGGAGACACCAACCGAGUUUUCCAGCUCCUGGGCGAGAUGCUAGGCCGGGGAUGGGAGCCGAGCGCCGUGACUUACACCUCGCUGCUCAUCGCGUGUAGCCGCGGGGGUCUGGUGGAUCGGUGUUGGAAGUUCUUCCGGGAGAUGGAGUCCAAGCACGGGGUGGCUCCUCGCAUCGAGCACUACCACUGCGUGAUGGACACACUGGGGCGAGCCAACCGGGUGGAGGAGGCGGUGAGGCUGGCGGAGGAGAUGCCGUUUGAGCCGAGUGGAGUGACUUGGACGACGGUGUUGAGCGCUUGCGAGAGCGUGGAGGCCGGGAGGGGCGCGUUUGGAUCGUUGCUCGGGAUGGAGGAGGCGGACAGGAAGGCUGGCUGCGCUCUCAUGUCCAACUUGUGUAGUAGUAAAAUCUAAGUCACACGUCCUUUUAAAUAGCUGAUAACUAAAAGCUUUUCACUCUCUGAAGCUCGUAUCGUUUAAUGGUAGCAAUAUAAUAAUUUUUUUAAAUGUAGAAUUGUGUAGUUAUAAGAUUAAAAGAAGUGGUCUUCAUCCAGUUGGUAGAGGUACAAUCAGCAAAAACCAUGAGACCUAAAAUUUGAUAAAGCUCAUCACGGAUAUGUUAGUCCAGUAACUUCAAGACUUGGGCUUUUUCUUUGCAGGAGGUUCUUCUUCCACCAUCGUCUUCUUAGCAGCCUCAAUCCAUCGCAAGGCACCACCCGAGAGGCGCCAGUGGCGCUCGUGCUUCAAAAUCCACAGGACUCAAAUCCCAGGCCUUCCAAACGCCAUCUUCAUCGCCCGGGCUUCCAUCACCUCUGCCUCCAUCGCAUCCCUGUAGCUGUGGCCUCUGCGCCCCCUUUAAUGGUGCCAUGCAAGAGUUCGGCGUCCGCUCGCUUCAACACAGAGCUCACUCCUGGGAAAGAAGUUAUGCAGCACGGCUCCUUGUCCACGGGGGAGCACGGCAGCAAGAAGUACUGGAAUGAUCUGAGCAGCUUUGGCUUUUCUGUCUUCGUCUUAAAGUCCAGAGGAUCCCAGCACUAGAUGAAGUCGUGGCACGCAUCAGCGCAAAGUCGCAGCCCUCGUCCCUGGAUAUGUUUUUCAGAUUGUACCGUGGCUUGUCUGCCAUAUCGAAGUGCUCUGGUCGGACAAAAUCUCCAUUCAGGCACCGGGUACACGACUUGGUCACACGAGCAGAUGUAAGGAAGAAGUGGGGGCUGAGUGCUAUGCCACUGCCAAAGCUAACGAUCCCACUCUCAUGUGUUGCACGAAUGGCCUCCUUGAGUAUAGCUGGUUUUCCAUACACUGAGCUGCCCAAUCUGGGUGGAUCACCCGCUGGGAAGAUAACCGUGCCCGAUUCAAAGUCGACGCCCAGAAUUCUAUUGAACUUACCUUUCCUAGAUGGAUCUGUCUCCUUGACCGCUAAAGUUUCUAAAACCUUCUCUUGAAGUUUUGCCUGUUCUCGGCCAAUAGCCGAAUCUAUAGGUGCAUAGUAAAUAACAUAAGGCUCCCCACGAACAAGGCUCUUCCAUAACAAACCCUAGCAGGAAUUAGACCUUCCUUUUAUAGCUGUGUGCGGGUAAAGGUUUACCUCCUUAACCAGCCCAUUAUGAUAAACCUGAGACGAGAGUCGGCGUCGAAGUUUUGCAGGAGCUGGUCUUCCUGAGCUCUACGCGAUGGGGAUCCAGGUCCGCGCCGAGCUGCCAUGGAAGAAGUCGAAUAGAGGAGUGUGGAGUGCGUGUCCGAGCUUGUGCUGCUUCCGCCAGCUUCUCAUUUGAGAGAGCUUGAUUUAGCAUUCAUUCAGUCUAGUUGUCUCUGGCUUUUGAGGAGUUGAAUUUGAGGGCGCAAUAGUAAUAGGGGCUCGUUUGAAGAUUGUUCCACCUGAAGAAGACAAGGCAGCGGCAACUCCAGCACAAUAAUCUCUCGGAUCCUCUCUCCCGAAGGGCUUCAAGUGAAGAAGUGUGUUUCGUUCCAGGAAAACCAGACUUUCUUUUCCAGCUUUGGUUGACACGACCGAGGUGGCGGACACGAGCAACGUUUUUUAUAUGAAAAAAAUCAUACCAUUGAAGAAGGGAGAGAGAUUCGUCAGGACAUUCCCUUAAAGAGGAAGAAAAUUUCUCCUUAAUAAGGGUAGGAAUGGAACGCAGUAGGGUUUGCAAUGCGGGAGCCUUUCGGGUAUGUCUGUGAUCUGCCUUAUUAUGUAACUCCUAGUAUCCAGCAGAUGUGUCGAGAAGAACAAAAGCUCCUGAAAGAGGUUUCAGGAGAGGUAGCAGUGAAUCUAGGAAGGGAAAGUUUAGUAGAGUUUUGGCGGUUGACUAUGAAUCAGGCACUGUUAUUUUCCCGAAGGAUGAUCUUCUAGUUCUACAAGCCCAAGCUGGUCAGUAUAUGGAAGGAAUCCAACUAUACUCAAGGAAGCCAUUCGCGCAACACACAGGCUCCAAAGUGUGGAUGAGGGUAGGAUGGUUCACUUCGGCAGUGGCGUGGCGCUCAGCCCGCAGUUCCUCCUUACAUCUGCUCGUAUGGCCAAGUCGUCUACCCAGUGCCUGAAUGGCGAUUUUGUGCGAUCAGAGCACUUCGAUAUGGCAGAGAAGCCACGGUACAAUCUGGAAACUGUAUCCAGGGACGAAGGCUGUGAUAUGGUGCUGAUGCGUGUCAAGACUUCAAGCGCUGGCGCGACUCUAGAGAAGGCAAAGCUGCUCAAGUCUUUCCAGUACUUCCUGCUGCCAUGCUCCCCAGUGGACAAGGCGCCAUGCUGCAUAACUUCCUUCCCGGGUGUGAGCUCCCUGUUGAUGCGAGCGGACGCAGACCUCUUGCACGGCAUCAUUCAUGGAGGUACUGAGGCUAGUCUCGGGGGCAUUUACAGGGAUGCGAUGGAGGCAGAGGCGAUGCAAGUUCGAGCCAUGCAUCAGUACAAGCCAUAACGUUCGUAGAUCAUUACCAAAUCUCGUCAAGUUCCACUGAUUCGAGGCCGGGAUGCGACGCACUUGAUUUUCUUGGGACGGUAACUCAUUCUUUUGUCUUUGCUGUUCUUUGUCCGUAUCAGUCAGUGAGUGACGCAAGACCAGAAAUCUGGCGAAAGCCACGGUAUGCCCCAUCGGGCGCCACGGAGACCAUAAAAUCUUUUCUUCUUCUUCUUUGUCUCGUUUUUCUUUUUUUUACACUUAAACUUAUUCUUUGCAGGCUCCUUCCCGCGCUCUUUUACAACAACGUUUUGGCUAGCAUGCCCCACUGUAUAAAAAUCUGUAUGUUCGUGAUUGGACAUCUCCAGAUCGUGUAGAUGUAUGGCUCCUUGCCUAAGCUCAAUAUUGAGCUCAAUCGAAGCUAUUGUGGAGACAAUAUCCUGUCAAGAGAACAGUCUCUAUAACUUUUACCAGGCUUGGAACUUAAAGGAAGAGAGAAAAAGGUUUCCUGGGAUUUUAGAAUCUUUCACGUAUCAAUUAUCGCAGGAAAAUUUCUUUCGUUUAGUCAUGUAACAUGACUAAACCUCUGGGCUUUCCUCUCUAGUGAGAUUCAGGAAGAACGAUAACAGUGGCUUAUGUUCUUUCCUAGCAGGUUGUAGAUCAAACAGAUUCAAGUAGAGCAGUAGCCUCAAGGAGUCUUCAUUCGCAGCAAGCGUAUGUUUGAUUUUUCUUAGAAUAUUUCUCAUUGUGGCAUUUUUGGUCUAGAUAGUGGAUCUACGUAGAAAGCUUCAUCUCACAUUGCAAAUUGCAACAUCAAGUAACACCAUUUCGAUUUCCUUUUACCAUGCCAGUUGGUUUUCUGGUGUUCUUUUUCCAAUCACAGCAAACAAAAUGAAACAGAACGAAAGCUAGAGCUCCAUAAAAAAUCAAGCGUACUCGAUGCUAGCCCCCUUGAACGUGAAGACUUUCUCCUUGUCCUUCCCGCGCGGCACCAGAGUGACAACGAGCUUGUCCGCGUCCUUCAAGCCCAAGAUCUCGACGUUGGGCUUGAUGGAGAAGCGGGCGUUGGUGGUCCGAGUGCUCGACUCGGUCAUCCCGGGCAUGAAGUGGGGGAUGUUGUAGAAAGAGCCAACGUACUCGGCGCAGGAGAGCGUUGUGGUCUCGUUGGCCUCAGGGAGAUUGAUGAACACGUUGAAGUUAGUGUUAUUCUGCAUCCCAACCACCAUCUCUUCCAGGACCAGGAGCUCGUCCGAAGCGCUGCCUUUGGGCUGCGCCACCGUGAUCGUCAGCGGGCCCGCUCCAACCUUGACAGGCUCGGCGUUCUGGGACGAGGAUUUCACGAGUGGAUACUCAGCCGCCAUAGCAGUAGCUCCAGGAACCAACGAAGCAACGAUCGAACUCUUGGGCUGCGCGAAGGCCGUCUUUGCGAGCGGCAGUGGCUUGUAGUUGAUCCAGACCUUGUCCUGGGGCAUGGACGCGUACUUGUACUUGAGCUUCGUCUGGUUGUCGAUGGAAUCUUUCACCUUGACGCGAACGAGGUCCUGGUUCUCAUCGAAGAAGAGGAACUCGGUGUUGAGGUAGUCGGCGUCCGUGAAGUCCUGGUUUCCCAGGGACCUCCACACGUCCCACAUCCUGUCCACGUUACCGUGGUGGCAGUAGAAGAGUGGAUCCUUCCCGGCAGAGUAGAAGUUGCCCAGGUCCUCGCCAUUGGGGUUAUUGGGGCUGCCGCCAAAGAUGUGCACGGCCGUGUGUGGGGCUUUCUCCAGAGAUCCAUCGGCACCGUUAUUGUUCCCUUUCCUGCAUAAGACAUGGCUCCGUCACCUUUUUCUGGCCAUGCACACGUACCUUAUGGGAGCGCCGAAGAAGGCGUCCCGGAGCUUGACCUUAGCGACGUUGUUGUACAUGACGGAGAUGUUGUCCUGGCGGAUCUGAUCGUCGGUCUUGUAGGUGGGCUCGCCGAAGCUGGGGUCGACGCCGGGCGCGUAGCCGAGAUCCACUCGCGCGGGCGCGUAGUUUGCCUCGUUGCGAUUGGCGUCGAAGAUGGGGGUGCCCUCGCGCCGAAACAUCUCCGGGAUGUAGCUCCCCCCCUCCUGGUUGUCCCAGUUCCAAAACGGCAGCGCGAAGGUUGGAUCGUUGAUCAAGCUGCCCAGGAUCUUCUCGUGGUAGUAGAGGUACCAGCGGUGCCACGGCAGGAAGAGCCAGUUGAAGUGGAUCUGGAGCGUUGACUUUGGAUCGCCCUCCUGGCGGUAGCCGAAGUUGCAGUAGACGCAGUGGACGUUUGCCUGCUGCCGGAAGCUCCGGGGAUCAUCCGAGGGAAGCGCGCGCAUCUUGGCGUAGGCCUCGUUGUACUUCUGGAUGUAGUCCUCGUCCACGAGAUGGGCGGCGGGGCGGGUGCGCAUGGGGCCGGUGUCGGGCUUGAAGUCGAUGGUGUCGCGCUUGGGCUUGGGCGGGCAGCACGCCACGAAGGUGUUGGUGUUGGCGAUGUUGGCGGGCUGGCAGCGCUUGAAGGUGGGAGAUCCCACGGGCUCGGCGAGCGCGGGACCAGUAGGGGACGCUGCGAGCGAAGCUCCGCCGGCGAUUGUUCCCGCCAGGAGCUCGCGGCGAUCGAUGAUCGAGGCCGGAGUGGAGCUACCUUUCUUGGAGGGGAAAGAGGGAUUACCAGACUCCCCUGUUGCUGCAUUGGCUUCUUUCCUGGCAUUGGCGGUGAUCUUGAGCGUACCCCGGGAGCGAUUGGGCAGAAGUGGGCAUCGGCUCCGGUGCUGGAGCUUGACGCGAUCGAGCGAGAGUGCCGCGGAAGACAUGCCCAGCAGCGAAUCCAUGCUGGAUGAGAGAUUCCAAACCUCGACUGACGACGUCGUAGGAAGCGUACCUUUUUAAAGGACGAACAAGCUCACAUGACUCUCGUGGGAGUAGUGGCGAUAAUAUUUCAGACCAAAGUGAUCGGACUUUGAUCCACGAGAACCCCGUGUCUCUUAGAAUUCUUAUCAAAACUGCCACGUCAUUGCAGCCUUUAGUAGGGUUACCGUCUUUUCAGGAGACGAGCAAAGAUAUGCUUGAAACAGCAGUGAAUGAGGGGAAUUCGUAAUUGGCGUAAGUUUAUUUGAUAUCCAUCUGCACGGUAGCAUUUCCACGGUACGGCCCAGCUUGUUCUCUGAUUCCGUUCGCUUUGAACUGUAGUUGCCACUUUCUUGAACAAGCCAUGUAAAGCUUUUAGCAGAACAUCGCCACAAGGUAAACACUUAAAUUACCUUCGCCUUUGAUAGGCUAGGUUGUGUUCGAAGUGUUUUUUGAGCCGCUGCUCACCCACCUUUUAAACGGGUCGAUUGCCACAUUCAUGGAAAUCCGGACAUUAGUCGUCACCUUCGCCUACAACAUUCGAGGUACGUGCUGAAUGAAUCUCACGCUUGACUGUUCGAUUUGUGAGAGCUUAAGGAGCUCCGGGAAAGCACCAAAGGUACAAACAAGAGCCGAGGGGAGGGAGUUGGCCAGGCGUUUCCUAGGCUUGGGUUUCGUAGCAGUUUGAUCGAUCAUGUGGUGUAGCUCGCACCAGUGUCGUCAUGCAUAUACCACGCCCCGUUACUGUGGAUCAUAAAAGAAAGCUCGAACUAAAGAGAAGGAAAAACAGAGAACACGAACUCGAGUUGGCCGGGCGACGACUUCGUUCCUGCCACCUUAACGGAAAAGGGACGUCGAGGGGGCUAGGGCUUGAUCCAAGGUGACCACUCUGACCGUACGCCUGGAUCAUCGAGUUCCAGGACCUCUCGGCAUUCGAUCAAAUACUCUCCUAGCGUCCUCCAGGUGACCGCUCUCAGCGUACACUGCGAUCAUUGCGUUCCACGGGUUUGUGUAGCAGCCUUGCUUCUCGCUCCUCCCUGCUCCGACCAAAGAUCAUGGAGUUCCAAGACGUGACAUCCGCCAAAACGCCAGCUUGGCAUCGCUGAUAUGCCGGGCAUGGGCAUAUCCCGUCCAAGAGAUGAUAAUCUUCCAAGGCAUUUGAUCAGAAAUUCCCUUGGCUUCCUCCGCAGAUUGACACUGCACGCAAGCCAGAAUUGCUGCACCAAGUCCCGGCAAGGCACUUUUUCAAAGACCCUGAUACAAUCCUCUUGGUGCCCAGAUUGGGCAUAAGCUGCUGAUCUUGUGUUCCACGAUGUUAUAUCCCUUCUCGGAAUUUCUGGGAAGAGGCUCAAAGCUACCCCACAUGACCGUCUAUCCAUACGCUACUCGUAUGGUCGUCCUCGCCACGGCAUCCUUGUGAGAAAUCCAUCAAACAGCCUUCUCGCUAGAACCAUAUACCUGUUGUGGGAAUACGCUGCUACCAUGGUCGUCAAAGAAACGCCGUCUUUCGGUGGCAUCUGAUCGCAUCACAGCCUUGCAGUGUGAUACUAUCCAGCGGUGUAAUACGCGGUGAUAAUAGAUGCCCAUGAUGCCAAUCCCAAAACGGCAUUCUAUCAAAGAGCCACUGUGAUCGAUCGAUAUGCCGAAGCUGGGCAUUUUCUUAGACCAAAACGUUCCAGGAUACUUGAUCCUUCUCUAGAACAGCGAUGGCGUGCAAUAGUUCUUCUUCGCUUUCAGGAACUAUAGAGCGUCUUAUCGUGAUGUUUCUCCUCAAGAUCAUACAUUGCAACCAAUGAUGAUCCCACGCUCUGAGACGCGCUUGGCAUGGCCACCGGUAGAUCACCGGUUCCGGGACAAGAGCGCUGGAGAGCUCGCAUUGUAUGGCGGGAUUGCCGUUGUCGGGUUUGCGAUUGGAGGUAGUGUGCCGAGCUCGCUGGAAAUCUUGCUGCUGGUUCCCGAGGCGCUCCAGGCAAUAGGCAGUGGGCGUGGGCUACUCGAUCCUCAUCGCUGGUAAGCGAUCAUAUGAUCCAUCCCCCUAUUUUCCUCGCAUUUUUUCUUUUGAAUGUAAAGUUUUCUUUUCCUGAUAAUCCCUUUCGUUUCCCAGUUGUUUUUUUUUUCCAGCGAUGGUGGAGGGAGCACACUCGUGCGAAGCAAAAAAUCGUGCAUCGAAUGGUUGAGUGGAGCUAUACCAAAUGAUAAACUUGAGACGAGAGUCCCGAUCGCCAGCGUCAAAGUUUUGCUGGAAGAAGUUGAGGAGCGCGACGGUGAUGUUCGUGGCCGAGCUUGGCAUCGUCUUGUGCUGCUUCCGCUAGCUUCUCAUUCCGAAAGGAUCCGGAAAACUAGACUUUCCAGGCAUCUUUUCCAGCUUUGCUUGACACGAUCGGGGUGACAUACAAUCUCUGCCUUGGGAGCGGACACGAGCAAGGAUCGGUACGGUUUUUAUAUGCUAGGAAGGCGAAACGCCAUAGACUUUGUGAGUGAUUGUUGUCUCUUAACUCUCUUCUCACUCCAAGAACGCGAAAGUAGGGGAGCACCGAAAGAAAGAGGGGAAGAACCUCGCGAAUCGCUGAUCCUCCUUUGCAGCAUUCGUCCAUCCAUCCGACGGAGCGUUUCUUUUUGCGAUUUCUUUUAUUCUUUAUUUAUUUAUUUUUUGUUGCAGAGGCAUGGUUGCUGCCUAGCAAGUUGCUCGCCGGUCACCUCAAGAACAGGCUUUUGCUCGCUCCUUUUCUCGGCUCUUCCAACUUUAUUCUAAGUGGAAGAACUUCGUCUAUCCACUGAAUUUUACAUACAGAAGGGGUGAUUUGGCGCAUCUCUGAUCUUUGGAUCUUCAUACGAAUUCACAAGAAUGUUAUGGAAUAAAGAGUUCUUUUGAGUGAGGAGGAGAACACAGAAUCGGCACUAUAAACCUGGGGAAAAUGCUCAAAUAAUCUUAAGGCGGAAUCGAGAUAUCCAGGCGCUGAUCUAUGCCUCGAACACCGCCACGGUGAUCCUUGCCGUGUGCUUCUUCGGGAACUUUGUAGAGCGGUGACGUAAUGGCAAGCAGAUCCUUGUGUAAGCGAGUUGACGACGAUACUUGAUCUUCCUCUCUUUGUGGCCGUCAUAAGGUUCCCGUGGCCGAGGCUAGUGGAUCUUCCAAGCCUUGUGCUUUGAGGGACUUGAGGUUCUUCUUUGCAGGAGCUCCUUCUUCGACCAUCAUCUUCUUGGCAGCCUCAAUCCAUCGCAAGGCACCACAUGAGAGCUGGAGGUGGCGCCAGUGGCACUCGUGCUUUAAAAUCCACUGCAAGAAAGGAUUCAGAUCCCGAUCCUUCCAAACACCAUCAUCGGGUGCAUGCAACUCCUGGAGCACAUUCCGAAAAUACACCUCCACAAACCCAGGCUCAUCGUAGCUAUGUGCUAUGUUUGCCAGACGGUCAGCAGCAGCUCCGGUAUGGUAAGCCCAAUAACAGCCAUAUUUCUUGACAGGACAAAACCGGUGCUCCGGAGCUUCCACACAGGGUACUGCAUGUAGUCCUCCAACUGAAUUCCGAAGUGCACACCAUUUCUCCAAACGAUGCAGUCUGGACUCCUGUGCAAUGAUUCCUGGACUCCUGUGCAAUGAUUACCAAAGGCAUCGUGCAGCUUACUGAACAACACUCUAUCGCAAAAAAGUUUGAUAUCCGCUUAGCUCAUAUGAAAGGUCUGUCCUCCUAGCCACGGGAAAUGAAAUAGUGGAGGCUUGCUCUCUAAAAUCUCUGGAAAUGUAACCAAAUGAGACCGGACGAAAUGUUGCAAGCCUCCAUGUUUGAGACAUAGUGCUAACCCAAAAUAAUUUACUUUGCUUAAGCAAACCAAAAGACACGCAAUAAUAGCACAUGCUCAUUUAGCUGAUUUUUUGCCAAAAAGCUUGACGCACGUGUCUAAAAGACUUACAAAACUUUGUAGAGUACCUGUGACUUUUUCUUCUGGAGUACUCCCACGAGAACCGUUCGUUCGUAAUUAAGGGCUCCGCUUUGUAAGAAAGCAAAGCACCAUUCUUACAAAUGUGCCACGCUUAGCCAUGUCUGUAGGAUUUGCGGAAAAUGGCUCGGUAGCUACUUCAUUGCGUUUUGGUGGUUAUAUACAAGAGGAUUAGCAACUCUUGCCGGUUAUGUGAUGUGGCUAGUGCUCCUUCUCAAGGUUUCCGUUACCUAGCUUGAGUGUCUUUAGGAAGACUUGAUCCUGUACACGAGGUAGAGCCUGCAGCAACAAAAUUCCAGAAGAAUUUUGCCUUUGUCGAUGAGUUCCCAGAUGAAAUGGAACCUCAGUUCGGUGUGCUUCAUUCUUGAAUGGAAUCGAGAGUUCCUUGUGAGAGCAAUGGCAGAUGACACGGGGUUCUCGUGGAUCAAAAUGUCCGAUCACAAUGGACAGCUUUGGUCCCUUCCGAUGUGAAAUAUUAUCUCAGCCCAGUACUCCCACGAGAACCAUGUGAACUCGUUCGCCGUUUAAAAAGGUAUCGCUUCCCAAUGCGUUGAUAGUUGAAUCUCUCAUCCAGCAUGGAUUCGCUGCUGGGCAUGUCUUCCGCGGCACUCUCGCUCGAUCGCGUCAAGCUCAAGCACCGGAGCCGAUGCCCACUUCUGCCCAAUCGCUCCCGGGGUACGCUCAAGAUCACCGCCAAUGCCAGGAAAGAAGCCAAUGCAGCAACAGGGGAGUCUGGUAAUCCCUCUUUCCCCUCCAAGAAAGGUAGCUCCACUCCGGCCUCGAUCAUCGAUCGCCGCGAGCUCCUGGCAGGAACAAUCGCCGGCGGAGCUUCGCUCGCGGCGUCCCCUACUGGUCCCGCGCUCGCCGAGCCCGUGGGAUCGCCCACCUUCAAGCGCUGCCAGCCCGCCAACAUCGCCAACACCAACACCUUCGUGGCGUGCUGCCCGCCGAAGCCCAAGCGCGACACCAUCGACUUCAAGCCCGACACCGGCCCCAUGCGCAUCCGCCCCGCCGCCCAUCUCGUGGACGAGGACUACAUCCAGAAGUACAACGAGGCCUACGCCAAGAUGCGCGCGCUCCCCUCGGAUGAUCCCCGGAGCUUCCGGCAGCAGGCAAACGUCCACUGCGUCUACUGCAACUUCGGCUACCGCCAGGAGGGCGAUCCAAAGUCAACCCUCCAGAUCCACUUCAACUGGCUCUUCCUGCCGUGGCACCGCUGGUACCUCUACUACCACGAGAAGAUCUUGGGCAGUUUGAUCAACGAUCCAACCUUCGCGCUGCCGUUUUGGAACUGGGACAACCAGGACGGGGGGAGCUACAUCCCGGAGAUGUUUCGGCGCGAGGGCACCCCCAUCUUCGACGCCAAUCGCAACGAGGCGAACUACGCGCCCGCGCGAGUGGAUCUCGGCUACGCGCCCGGCGUCGACCCCAGCUUCGGCGAGCCCACCUACAAGACCGACGAUCAGAUCCGCCAGGACAACAUCUCCGUCAUGUACAACAACGUCGCUAAGGUCAAGCUCCAGGACGCCUUCUUCGGCGCUCCCAUAAGGUACGUGUGCAUGGCCAGAAAAAGGUGACGAGCCAUGUCUUAUGCAGGAAAGGAAACAAUAAUGGUGGCGAUGGAUCCCUGGAGAAAGCCCCACACACGGCCGUGCACAUCUUUGGUGGCAGCCCCAAUAACCCCAAUGGUGAGGACCUGGGCAACUUCUACUCGGCCGGGAAGGAUCCACUCUUCUACUGCCACCACGGUAACGUGGACAGGAUGUGGGACGUGUGGAGGUCCCUGGGAAACCAGGACUUCACGGACGCCGACUACCUCAACACCGAGUUCCUCUUCUUCGAUGAGAACCAGGACCUCGUUCGCGUCAAGGUGAAAGAUUCCAUCGACAACCAGACGAAGCUCAAGUACAAGUACGCGUCCAUGCCCCAGGACAAGGUCUGGAUCAACUACAAGCCACUGCCGCUCGCAAAGACGGCCUUCGCGCAGCCCAAGAGUUCGAUCGUUGCUUCGUUGGUUCCUGGAGCUACUGCUAUGGCGGCUGAGUAUCCACUCGUGAAAUUCUCGUCCCAGAACGCCGAGCCUGUCAAGGUUGGAGCGGGCCCGCUGACGAUCACGGUGGCGCAGCCCAAAGGCAGCGCUUCGGACGAGCUCCUGGUCCUGGAAGAGAUGGUGGUUGGGAUGCAGAAUAACACUAACUUCAACGUGUUCAUCAAUCUCCCUGAGGCCAACGAGACCACCACGCUCUCCUGCGCCGAGUACGUCGGCUCUUUCUACAACAUCCCCCACUUCAUGCCCGGGAUGACCGAGUCGAGCACUCGGACCACCAACGCCCGCUUCUCCAUCAAGCCCAACGUCGAGAUCUUGGGGUUGAAGGACGCGGACAAGCUCGUUGUCACUCUGGUGCCGCGCGGGAAGGACAAGGAGAAAGUCUUCACGUUCAAGGGGGCCAGCAUCGAGUACGCUUGAUUUUUUAUGGAGCUCUAACUUUCGUUCUGUUUCAUUUGGGUUCCUGUUAUUGGAAAAAGAACACCAGAAAGCCAGCUGGCAUGGUAAAAGGAAAUCGAAAUGGUGUUACUUGAUGUUGCAAUUUCCAAUGUGAAGAUAAAGCUUUCUACGUAGAUGCACUAUCUAGACCAAAAAUGCCACAAUGAGAAGUAUUCUAAGAAAGAUCAAACAACGCUUCCAACGAAUGAAGACUCCUUGAGGCUACAGCUCUACUUGAAUCUGUUUGAUCUACAACCUGCAAGGAAUCUCACUUGAGAAAAAAUCUUCAUAGGCCGGGAAAGCCGACUAAACGCUGAGAAAAUUGAUACAUGAAAGAUUCUAAAAUCCCAGGAAACCUUUUUCUCUCUUCCUGUACGUUCCAAGCCUGGUAAAAGUUAUAGAAACCGUUCUCUUGACAGGAUAUUGUCUCCGGAAUAGCUUCGAUUGAGCUCAAACAAACGUUAUAGCUCAAAUGAAACAAGCUGUUCUAAGGUCUGUCCUCCUAGCCACGGGAAAUGAAGCAGUGGAGGCUUGCUCUCUAAAAUCUCUGGAAAUGUAACCAAAUGAAACCGGACGAAAUGUUGCAAGCUAUGUUUGGGUAUAGAAUCACAUGGUGCUAACCCAAAAUAAUUUACUUUGCUUAAGCAAACCAAAAGACAUGCAAUAAUAGCACAUGCUCAUUUAUCUGUUUUUUUGCCAAAAAGCUUGACGCACGUGUCUAAAAGACCUAUCAAACUUUGUGUGACUUUUUCGCCUGGAGUACUCCCACGAGAACCGUGUGACUCGAGUUCGUUCGUAAUUAAGGGCGCCCCUUUAUAAGAAAGCAAAGCACCAUUCUUACAAAUGUGCCACACUUAGCCAUGUCUCCCGCGGCACUCGCGCCAAGCUCCAGCACCGGUCCCGAUGCUGCCCGGGCCGCUCAUGAUCACCGCCAGCGCCAAGAAAGAAGCCAAUGCAUAAGGUACGUGUGCAUGGCCUUGAUUCUAAAAGGUGACCAAUGUCUCAUUCAGGAAAGGAAUGUGGGUGGCGAUGGAUCCCUGGAGAAAGCCCCACACAAGUCUUUGGUGGCAGCCCCAAGAACUCUCAUGGCGAGGACCUGGGCAACCCACUCUUCUACAGCCACCACGGUAACGUGGACCGGAUGUGGAACGUGUGGAAGACUGAAAAGCGGAAACGAGGACAUCGACAACGAGCAAGCCUACAGCCGUGGCUUGAAGUUGAUCCAGCUGCUUCGUUGGUUCCUGGAGCUACUGCUAUGGCGGCCAAGUAUCCAGUCGUGAAAUCCUCGUCCCAGAACGGGGAGCCUGUCAAAGUUGGAGCGGGCCCGCUGGCGAUCACGGUGGCGCAGCCCAAAGGCAGCGCUCGGGACGAGAUCCUGGUCCUGGAAGAGAUGGAGAUUGGGAUGCCUACCUUCAACGUGUUCAUCAAUCUCCCUGAGGCCAACGAGAGCACCACGGUCGCCUGCGCUGAGUACGUUGGCUCCUUCAACAACAUCCCCCACUUCAUGCCCAGGAUGACCGAGUCGAGCACCCGGACGCCCGCUUCUCCAUCAAGGAGAACGUCGAGAUCUUGGGCUUGAAGGACACGGACAAGAUCGUUGUCACUCUGGUGCCGCGCGGGAAGGACAAGGAGAGAGUCUUCACGUUCAAGGGGGCCAGCAUCCAGGACGCUUGAUUAUCGUUGGAGCUCUAAGCCUGUGCUGUUUGAUUUGAUUUGCUUUCCUGUGUAUUGGAAAAAGAAAACCAGAAAACCAGCUGACAUUGUAAGAAUGAAAUCGAAAUGGUGUUACUUGAUGUUUCAAUAACCAAUGUGAAGCUGGCGGAAGCUCUCUACUGCAUCAGGACGACGAUGUCUUGUAGAUCCAACUGUCUAGGCAGUAUCCUACCAAAAAUGCUCCGGCUAAGUCGCCAACGGCCAGACCUGGUCGAACACGCACAACGAAAGGAAUGUAAGCUGGAAGCGAAGAAAAGGAAGCACUCACCAAUCCAUGUUCCCGUGGAAGGCUUUAUUAGCACAGCCCCACACCCGGCUCCAAUCGAUGCACACGUUAGCGAUGCCACUGCCUUUAAGGAGUUCCCAGCUGUUCUUCGUGCCAAGCUGUGGAGGACAUCUAUCUCUUUCUUGUUCCCUUUGGCGCGGCCCGGGUUUUGCCUGUGAAUGUAGAUAACUCUCCCGGAUCUGUAAAUAUCAAGAACUUCUUGGACCAGGCAACUCGCUCCAACUCCGAGAGCAUGAGCUGAGAAAAAACAAGACCAAAGUAAAAUCGCAACUGCUUUGAAAAAACUGUGUCUGAACCUCGGAAGGUUGUUUUCGCGACACCCGUGAAUAAUUCGAUCUUCGUGAUGUGUCUUCUGGCCUUUCUCACGGCAGACUUUGGAACGUCUGGAAGAUAAAACGCGUUAGAACGAGAGCAAAGAAGCUCACACGCAAACCUUUUAAAAGCUUCCAAGCAGUCCGGGCGGAGACGACUUGCACAACAAUGCGCUCCAAAACUCGCCUCACAGUGAUUACAGAAACCUACAACAACAGGAAAAGAAAAACAUAAGCUCUCAGGCAAAGAAAAAGAAAGAAGAUGGUUUACCUCGCGGAAAGCGUGAGUCCCCGAGCGCUUGAAAGCCAGCCUGAAAUCCGGAGAAGUCUCCGUGGGACGAUCCUCUUCGUCGUCCUCGUCCUCCUCGACCUUCAUGUACGCCUCGAGCAGCGGGAGGAAAUUCACGAGCAGCGCUCGCAACCCAGUGGUGCCAAGAGCUUUCGGCCGGAACGCCGAGAAGAGCGGCUUGAGCUCGAUGUCGUAAGUCUUGAACGCAUAUCUCUUGCUCUCCUCGGUUCCAUACGUGGGCAUCCAUCUCCCCAGCCAGUCGUCCUCGGACGAGUCGACUUUGGCAUCGCAGAACGCCCAGUUCCUGGACAAGCGUCAGAUCACGCAACCCGGCAUUGAAAUCUGGAAGGGCAUUUCCCUAGAAGUAUCGAUGGAAGGUUUCUUACCUGGGAAACAGAGACGCGAUCCCAGCUACCGAUGAAGCGCUUAAGAGCGCGGCGGAAUGCAAGGCGUUGCUCGAUGAGGAGUCGAGAGCCAGCGCCAAGCCUUCCAUCGCCUAGCACGAAGAAUUAGGUCACACAGACAACAAAGAACAAAGAAGCGAGUAUAUUCUAGUUUUAUUCUAAAGAAUGGAUGCCGCCGAGAGAGAGCUUCGAUCUGGCGGGCCACUGGAUCUUGGAUCGAUUGCUGCAUCGUCGCGUGGGAGGAGCUGCGAUCUAGAAAUGCUGAUCAGAGGCAGAUCUCGCGGAACACCGGCAGCCUGGAUCUUGGAGCCAUGGCGGCCGCGUUGUCGUGGAGGAGGAGCUUGGUGAGAUUCAUCGCCGGCGCGACGAGCGGGGGGAGCUUGACGUCGGACAGCUUAGGCGUGGCGUGGAUGAAUCGGCAGCGCUUGCCGUAGGGACAGGUUCCAGCCGCGGAGAAUGUCCUGCAAACCUGGAUUUGAAAGAUUAUCGAUCGAUCAACGAAAUAUCUGUGAGAGAGGAGAUCGAGGAGAGCGAGAUUUCUACCUCGGUCUUGUAUUUCGGAUGCCGAUUGACUGGCCGGAGAUCUUCCUUGCCGUGAGCAAACUGGCACUUGUUGCCGUAGCGACAGGAGCCCGUCUCCUCCCACGAUCGGCACAGCUCCGUCUUGUACAGCUUGCUCGCGUCCGAUUCCUCGGCCAUCGCCUUGGCGAUCGAUCGAUGGAGAGGACAGUGGAAAUAUUUCGAGCGCUCAAAACGAGCGCUCUCCCAAGAACUCCAAGAACAAUGAGAGAAAGAGAACUAAAAAGAGAAAUGUGAGUAAAGCCUAGAAAUCUCUCGUCCUCUCGUAUUUGUACUCCCGCCAAUUCCCUCUAGAAAGUUUUUAACCCCACUCAUUGUCACAAUGAUUGCCAGGUAAGAAAUCCAAAGCUUCACUAGCUUUCAAACUCAACCGUUCGCACGAAUAUCCCCUAAACCCCCCGUGAUUAUUCGCAUCUUUCAACCGGCCACUGGAAUAUUCACCGUUAGAACCCUAAAAAUGCUGGUGUCUCGAUUGGGCUAUGGCGGGCGAGCUCUCCUCUCCAAAUGCCGGCGCCUGGCGCAGGGUAAGCGCAAUAUCCACAACAUCGACUCCUCCGACGACGAUCGCGGCGGCGAUCACACAGGCUUCACAGAGGACGAGGAGGAGGAAGCGCAGGAACAGGAAGAACAAGGGCGUAGGGUAGUGAUCGUGUGGGAUAUUACGACGAGCAAGCCGCCGGUGUCGAUGGAUCCACAAGUAGCGGCGCUCCGGGUCAGGGAUCUCGCCGACGCAUUCGGCUUCGUGGUGGAUCGAUCGGCCUACGCGGAGCCCCGGAUUCCAGUGACCGAUGCCCGGCCCAGGACGUAUUACGAGGAGAAACUCAUGGCAUCGCAGCUCAAGCCGGUGUGGUACCAGGACGUCCCCCAUCAGAGCGCCGAGGACUACGUCUACAAGUGUGGCUACUGCGGGAGAACGCUAAGCAGCCACCACUCGCUCUACAAGCACUUUAAGCAGAUCCACGCCCCGGAGAGGGCCAAGCGCGUCCACAAGCUCAACCGGAUCCAUCGCGGGCAGCGGCGGGACGAGUACGCUCUGGCGAUGGCGGACAAGGAGCAGCGAUACCGCGCGGCGCUCCGAGAGAUCGUCAUGCCCAAGCUGGUCGUCAGCGAUGAGCUUUGCAGCGCGCUCACGAGGGCGGGAUUUCUCGUCCGGCUGGUGACCGAGAAGCCACUUCGCCAUCUCUUCCUCACCGCCCAGGAGUCGGCCGUGAUCAACCAUCUCUGGCAGGCGGCCUGGCUCAACGUUGCGUGCAUCGUGCUGGUGAGCGAUUCGUGCCGGUUCGGGGAUUUCAUCCGGCUGGCCAGGGAGCAGCGCGGGGUGAAGUUCGUGGGGAUCAGCGAUGGAUUGAGCGAGUUCCGGAUGGGUGUGGAUUUGUUUAUCAGCUGGGAGGAGAUUGAGCGCGGGCGGGGGUAUGUGUGGGCGACCGAGGCUGCGCGGGCUUGGUUCUCGGGGCCUCGCUUGUUCGCGAAGAGAUCGACGCUGCGAAAGAGGCAAAAGUAUGGUGGCGGUGGCGAGUUUGAUCCCUUUCGCGAGUGAGAAGAGGAGUCAAGUUACUUCGAUCUGGCCUGGAAGAAUUGAGCUCUUAACCAUUUUGUGAUGAAAACAAAGCAUAUUCUAACUGAUGCUUAUCUAACGGCUUAAAGAUAUGUAUUUUAAAUUGGAAUUAAUUAAUUUAGAAUUCAAGUAUUUUAAUAUCUUUUAGAUUAUCUUGUUUAUUAGUAAAAAUGUUGCGAUAGUCUUAGUCUAAAAAUGUUGCGAUAAUAUUUUUUUUAUUUCCCAAUAAUUAUAUAAAAAAGUAUUUAAUAUAAUUUUACAUUUAAAUAUAUUCAUGUAUAUUCUCUAUAUUUAACCAAAAAACAUUAUUACAUAAAAUAAUUAACUAGUUAUUUUAGUUUUCUUGUUCAGCAUUAUGUAUAGCAAGGAAAGAUAUUUUUAAAUUAGUAAACAAUUAUAUAAUUAACUAUCUAUUUUUAAUUUAUAAAUUAUUAAAUUUUAAAAAUUAAAAAUUACAAGAUUUUAACCUUAGAAAAAUAAAAACUACAAUCAACACUAUUUAUAUCUUGUUUAUUUUGUAUUUAUGAUUGUUUGAAAGUCCUCAUAAAACUUAUAAUAAAUUUUUGUUAAGUUUAGCAAAUAUAUAAAAUAUCUAUUUAGUUUAUAAAAGACCAAAUCAAUAAAAAAAAUUUGUUUCUUUUUUACAAAGUAUUUAACAUUUUUAAAUUGUGCUUUUCACUUAAAAAUAAAAAUCUAAAUUAUUAAGUCUUAUAAUUGUUAAAUAUAGAUAUACAAAUUACUUAUCAUGUAACCAUUAAAGACUAUAUAGAGUAAUAAAACUUAAUAAAUUUAUUUCUUAAAGCUACCAUAGAAGUCAUACAUGCUUUAUGGAAAAAAAUAUUCUACAAAAGUCAAAACCUUUUUAUUUUUAUUUUUCUACUUUUAGUUUUUAUAUAUAUAGGGUAAUAAAACUUAAUAAAUUUAUUUCUUAAAGCUACCAUAGAAGUCAUACAUGCUUUAUAGAAAAAAAUAUUCUACAAAAGUCAAAACCUUUUUAUUUUUAUUUUUCUACUUUUAGUUUUUAUAUACUUUGUUGCAUAUUACUUUUAUUAUUUUUUUUAAGGUCUCUAAGUAUAUAUGUUCCAUUAAAUAGAGGUUUGUUGGACACUUUUCCAAAACUUAGAGAACUAGCAACACUUGGGCAAAUUUAAUCAUCCUACAUCAUUAUAUAUAUAUACACACAGACAUACAUACAUACAUACAUAUACACACACAUAUAUGUAUGUAUGUAUGUAUAUAUUACCCUACCUUGGUAAUACAUUAAUUAAAAUACUAUAGCAUAAUUUGGGAUUGAAUUUGAUCCAUAGAGUAUAAACCUUAAUUAAUAUACAAUUUAUCCCUAGAGGGCAAAGUUUUCUAGCAAUGUUUUGCUCAAUGUUUGAGAUUAUGUUUUUGUUUUUAUUCUAUCACUUUUCUUUUCUUUUCUAGAUUUGCUAUAGUUUUUUGCAAGAUCUAGGAUUAUAUCUUUUUGAAAUGUUCUUCUUUUAAUCUUUAUUUUAUUCUCUUCUUUUGCCAUACCACAUUAUUAUCAAUCAAGGAGCAUAUCACUUUAGGUUGCUAAUGCUAUUCCAUUGGAUUGAAUUUUUAGUGUUAUAAGGUGUAAUUAUAUUAGUGUUGCUCUAGUCUUUGAUAUGUACAAACUUAAAUGGAUUCUAGAAUAUGAUAAGAAGAUUAAUUAUUAUAAAGAUAACUUUGAAGAUGAGUUGAAGAUUUGACAAUCUUUCAAUUUGCCAUUUAAUGCUUUCUUUUUGCCUUACCAGCUAUAUUGACUUUUUACCGUGUGGCAAUAAAGAGAGAAUGUCCAUAAAGAUUGAUUGACAUUUUACGCUUUUCCAAUCUUUUUUCUUAUUUUUUAUAUCUAGUAUUUCUUCUUUAUCUACAAUAUUUCCUUUUUCUGACAUGUUAAUCAUUUAUGACUUUUAUAACUUUCAUUCUCAAUCUAGUGUUGAGCUAAAUGUUUUUUAUCAUACUUAUAUUAUGUGUGAAGUUUAAGAAUCUUACUUUUAUUUCUUUGGCGAAAUCUUUGAUUAGUUCUUAUGUUGAGUAUACCACUAUUCCAAGGUUGACCACUUUUGCUAGAAUUUUAGUUAAGUGUAUAUCCCUAAUUAUUAAUGUUAUUAAGAGCCUUUUCUUUAUUAUUAUUGCUAAGGAGUUUAUGUGUUCUUUUUAAGAAUAUGGACAUUUUUAUUGAUUUUCUUGUUUCAUGUGUUGAAUAGUAUUUUAAAGAGGUUAAGUGAUGUGAAUCUUUUAUUUAUAUUAUGAUCAUGCCCUACAAUACCAAAAGCUUGAUCCAAUUGAGUAGCACGAACAGCCUCAAGUGACAUAUUCCUUAAUCAAUGAUGAUGUGGCAUGGCAAAAGAAGAAAAUGCAAUAGCUAUAAUCCUAAACCUAGAGAAAAGUUAAUAUAAAUCUAGAUUUAAAAGAGAAAGAAACAAAUAAGAAUAAAAGUAUGAUCCCAAACACUAGAACAAAGCAUUGCUAAAAAUCUUUGCCCUCUUGAAACAAAUUGCAAUAGUUCUCAAAACCAAAUUAAGUCCUCAAUAAGAUAUAAUUUUAUAUAUUUAUAGACCUGACAAUACAAAACUAAAAAUCUUAAAAUUUAUAUUAUAUUUAUCCUUAUCUUAAUUUUGUUCAUUUAUGCACUAAAACCAUGGGGAAGACAUUCUUGGACAUCCUUGUGGACAAGUCCUCGAAAGAAAAAUCUCUCAGCCUUUCACCAUCCAUUUCAAUUUACUUAAAGGUUCAUAAAUUAUAAACAUGUUUAUAAUUUGUAAACAUCAGUGAAUUUUGUGGUAGCAGCAUUUUACUACCCGCCACAAUAUUUGUAGUUCAUUUUUACUACCAAUUACUGUAAGCUAAUAUAUUUGUAGUACAAAAUAGCUAUGACUAAAGUAUAUUCCUAUUAUGCAUGAAUACCUAAAAAAUAAACUUAAAAACAAGAUUUUAGUGAUCACAACAAAGUUGACUGUUAGAUACAUUCUAAUUUUAAUAAAUAUAAAGUAAACUAUAAUUACUGUAAAUGAGAUUUUAUUAUAUAGAAUAAGUAAUGCGCUCAUUCAAAUUUGCAUUUAAAUUUGUCUAAUGUGCAUUCAUAAAAAAGUUAUAACUUUUUUAACCCCUUCUACAUUUCUAAGUUGGAGUUGGCUUAGUUUCUGUGAAGUAGCCAGUAGCCAAUCCACCAACUUGCUACAUAAUUUAAUCAACAUGUGCAGCAUAGUAGUGUUACUAGGCACUCCACAACCUCACAGUGCUCAUCUGAAACAUCCUUACCUCGGUGUGCAUCUGCAGAGGUGUUUGAUCGGCUUCCUUUUUGGGAUGAGAAUGCUGCUAUGGCUUCCUUGCCCAACAAAAUUUGAGAGACAGUUUCAAGAUCUCUCCUGCAUGGUUGCCAAGGGCUGGGACGCUCUCAAGAACGUUUUGUUUUUGGUUUUAUGUUGAAUUUCAUCUCCUAAAACCUUUCUUACCUCAACUUAUAGUCUUGUUUAUAUUAUGGCGGGAGGAACCCUUGAACACAGGUGUUUGGUGUACGAGUUCUAUAUCACAGAUUAAUAUAUCAACGAGAGAUUUCUAAGCUCCAGGCGCAAAUUUCUGCUCAAGAUUUCCAUAACGACUUCUUAUUUCUCCCUUGUAAAAAGGAAUCACUUCUUUAUUAAGGAUAAGAUUUUUAUUGUAUGAAAUAUCUUUUUUUGAAUCAUCUCAUGUAAGGAUUUCUUUUUCCAUCUGAUUGUAUGUGUAAGAUUUCCUCCUUUUACAAUCUUGUAAAUUCCUAUGAUUCUUAUAUACACGUAGUUACGAAGUCAUUUAUUCGCCCUCUUUUCAAAAUUUCACGUAAAUAAGUGAAAAUAAGUACUUAAAACUUCUGCUUUCGUCUCUAUCACGAGAUGCUGCAGCCAAAUUUUUGCGAUCGCUCCAUGUCUUCCAGUUCCGCGAUUAUUUCCCGAAACGAUGGCCUCUUUUUGGCAUCAAAGUCCAAGCAACGAGUGAGAAGCCUGUCAAUCAAAGUAGAGCACCUCUUCAUAAAAAAAACUGGAGGAACGGAAAACAAAAAACGAGAGAGAGAGAAAGACCAAACUAAAGUUCUGGGCUUAACUGUUUCAUAUUCGUCGGAUACUUUGCUGUGAAAGCUGGUUUAUAGCCAUGCCUGGCCCUGUCCUCCACAGCGUGAAUUGGAUUCUCAUAUCUAUUCCCUACAUGACCUUCAAACAUCUGGAGCAAGUUGAAACAAAGUUCUCUUGGGGGAUCAGGUGUGAAAAUACCUCAUAGACGAUGAGAGCAAACGAGUAGACGUCGACGCUCUUGUCAUAGGAUUGAUGCUUGAACACCUCCGGCGCCAUAUACCUGUCUGCUUCUUCACCGUUGAGCGUAAGAACGAAACCAUGUCAAGGAUCUCGCCAUCGAAAUUAAAAGAGAACUUACAAGAUCCUGUUUCUCCGGUCAUCUUGUAGACUUCGUCCACCGUAGCGCCGGAGGCUUUAACAAGCCUGCUCAAUCCAAAAUCGCCAACUUUCAAAUGGCCCGCGUCGUCCAGGAGUAUGUUUCUGUUGGAAAGAACAAAACAUCUCUAGUUUGAGUGUUUUGUUCAAGUGAUAACUUACGUGGGCUUCAAGUCCCGGUGUAUAACUGGCUCUGGCUUGUGCUCGUGAAGAAAAUUCAUGCCUCUAACGAAAGGAAAACAUAUAGAAAUGAAGUGAGUUCAUGAGUUUACCUUGCAAUGUCGAGAGCAAAAUGAAGAACUUGUUUCCCGCCCAAGGAGCCUUUGCUCUUUCUUCUGAGUAGAGCUUGUAAGUCGCCCUGUGAGAAGAGGCACGCAUGAGUUUCAUGACAAGCAAACCACUUACUUUGGGGAGGUAUUCUGUGAUUAUGAUCAGGUUUUCUUGCUUAGUGACGGCUCCUAGAAACUGGACAAUGUUUGGAUGAUGGAGCUUUUGCAGCAAGACGAGCUCCCUCACGAACUCUCUUCUGCAAAACCAUGAUAUGUUGGUGUGAAACAAGGAGUUCACUCGAGCUCUCGUGUCAGCAAGCUUACACGACUUGCUUGUCCUGUAAGAGAGAUGUUAAGAUCGUCUUUGCAGCAACCUUUGUGCCUCGCCAUUUGACCACUCGGAUCUCCCCAAAAGCACCCUGUUUGAGUUUAUCAAGCAAAGCAAAUCUAAGCUUCCAAACAAGAAUCGAAGUGACAAAACUUACUCUCCCGAUGGGAUCAUUGUUGCCAAUCCUCUCAAUCUCCCCAGGAUCUAUUUCGUACUCGGGUACAACUGAUUCCUUGACAAAGGAAAUCAAGAUCACUCAUGAACAAGGAUAAAGAAGAACAACAAAGAACUUACAUAGUCCAUGGCUUCGUGGGCCUCGAGAAGCUUGCAAAUACGCAUGUGUCCAUAGCGUCGCGCAUCAGCUAGAGGCUUCACAAGAAAAAAAAAAAAAAAACCGAAGAAAUCAAUCAAAAAGAGAAGAACUCAUACCGUUCGUCCCCAUCGAUCUCUGGGGCUAAGAUCGACUCCAUGCUGGAUGAGAAGAAGCACACAGUCGGCAUGGCCCUCACUGGCAGCCAAAUGUAGCGCGGUCCUCUUGUCAUAGUCGGCAACGUCCUUGUUCACGCCCUCUCGCAAAGCUUGGCGGAGACCCUCUACGUCGCCACGGCUCGCGCAGUAGAGCAACUUCACCGUGUCAGCUUCCUCGCGCGACGUGAUAUCAUGAUCCUGUUCCUGGAUGGCUCCCAAAGAAACAGUCAAGAAAGAAAGUUCUACAUAUGGACUGUUCUUCCAGUUUUAGAUCUCUCUCGUACCGUCAUGUUUGACUUUGGAAGAGCUCAAUCCAUGCGCGAGCAGGCGUGUGGAUCCGGAUCCAUUCUCUUCCUUCCCUGUAACACAUGCAUGAACCCCAAAUCUUUGCGGAAGAAAAAAUGCGCGAUCGACCUGGACGAUCGAGAAAAGGAUGAGAAGCUCAAGAGCCAACCUUGAAUCGAUUGAGCUGCGCUCCUCAAGGAGAGGUGUCCCAAAUCGUCAUCCACAAUCGCGGUUACCGAGAAGCCCUGGAUAAAAAUCCUUCCAGCUUGAGCUGGUCCGCCGGUUUUAGCACCCUUCGAUCGUGGCUUGUCCUGUCCCUUAGCGCGCAGUGAAAGAAGAGAGAAUAUCUGGGCAUCUUGCCACCACGCGUACGCUCACAAUAGGCCUUCCGUACGCUGGAUCCAGUGGGACAAAACCCUAUCGAUGAUCCCGAAGAUCCAUUUGGAGGGAAUCCAANNNNNNNNNNNNNNNNNNNNNNNNNNNNNNNNNNNNNNNNNNNNNNNNNNNNNNNNNNNNNNNNNNNNNNNNNNNNNNNNNNNNNNNNNNNNNNNNNNNNGGUAUCAAAUAUUGAAUUUAGGGUUCUUCCGGGGUUUGAUGCGAGGAUGGAGACGAUGGAGCCGAGAUCUCGGUUGUGUCGCGCUGGAAGCUUUCCCACAGAGCAGGAGGAGCGGCGGCGUUGCCGCAUUGUCGCCGCCAGCGUCGGAUCUCCUCGGUGUCCUCAGGCAAGGGCUUCUCCAGGGGAAGCGCUGGAAGGAGAUUGCCGCGGCGUACCAGGGGGCGAUCGACCCGCAAAUCGCCGGCCAGGUACUCAAGAAUGUGUGGGACGUCCGCCUGGCCUGCUGCGUGUUCUUCUGGGCUAGACGAGAGAAGCAGUGUGUUCACACGCUGUGGAGCUACCAGUGUUUCCUGGAGGCGCUGCUUCGAUCCAGGGGAGGCUCGCUCGUCAUCCGGCACUACGUCGAGAUGGUCAAAGCGGGGAUUGGGCACGACGAGUAUGGAUUUUGCCUCGCGCUCGCGGGGAUUUGCGAGACUGGAUCGUGGUUCCAGGCGUUUAAGAAGCUCAAGAACAGGACCAUCUUUGGGAAGCCACUGAGCUCCAGCAUGUUUAACGUGGUCUUGGAGGGAGCUUGCAAGCGAGAGCGAUUGAGAGGAGCUGCCGAUAUCCUGCGGUACAUGACGAGCGUGGCGAUGGUUUCUCCGGACGUUUUGAGCUACAGGAUCGUGAUCGAGGCUUUUGGUGCUGGGCAUUGGAUCCAGCAAGUGGAAACUUGUUUCCGGGACAUGGUGGAGCGUGGUAUCGAGCCGGACGCUGCGAUUUACGAGGCUUUGGUGGAUGCUUAUAGCGGAGUUUACAGGCAGGAGGAAGGAUGCAAGGCUUUUAGCUCGAUGCUCGAGCGCGGUUGGAGGCCGAGCUCUGACGCUUACUCGGUUCUUUUGCGGUGCUGCCUCAAGAACUGGGAUGGAGUUUCCGCCUACAAGCUCUUCCGAGAGAUGGAAGGCGUUGGCUACGAGCUGACGGGAACUCUUUACCAGGAGAUGAUCCAUGGCUUUGUCAACUCGAGGAUGUUUAGCGAGGCACGGGCUCUCACCAAGGAGAUGGUCUCGAAAGGAUUUAAGCCAUCUCCCAGCGGCUAUUCGGCUCUCAUCCUGGCAUUUGCCAGCCCGGCACGGGUGAACGAAUCAUGGGAAGUUUUCCAGGAGCUUCUCCAGCAAUGUGGGAACGUCCUUGACCGGGAAACUUACUCGGCGUUUGUGACGAAGCUGGCAAAAAUGGAUCGAGCAGCCGAGGCAGUGAGGGCCUACGAGGGAAUGACUGAGUCGUGCGAUCGCAGGCCGGAUGAGAAAACGCUCCAGGAACUGGUGGGAUGCUUGUGUAGAACUGGCAGCGUGGAUCUAGCGCAGUGGCUGAUCAACCAAGUCGUGCACGACUUCAAGAACAUCGUUCCCAGCGUGGAGACUUUCAACAUGGUGCUAUCCGAGUACUGCUGCUUUGGGCCGAGCUACGGCAAUCUGAGGUCCCUUGAGAUAAAAAAGGCGAUGGAGCUGCUGGACGAGAUGGUGAAGCUGGGAAGGCGGCCGACUGUCAACUCUUUCCAGAUCGCCGUGCAUGGGCUUUGCAAGGCGGGGCGAGCUCUCGACGCGUACAAGCUCUUCCUCACUAUCCGGGACUUCGAUCUAGCUCCUGACGCUGCGACGAGCAAGACGGUGAUCAUGGGGCUGUGUAGCAUCGGCAGGAUUGUGGAAGCCGAGCUUGUGUUUGAUCAUCUUUUAUCGGAUCGAAGGGAGGUCAAGGAGAGCAGCUUGGUGGUGUCCCAGGUUUAUAAGGUGAUUGUGGAUGCCAGGUGUAGUGAUUUGAGGAAGCUCCUCAGGAAAGGAAGGAGAUGGUGGAAUGAAUCCAGUGUAAGUUUAGAGAUCGAUUUUACUGAAAAUAGUUGCUUGGGAUGGUAGAAGAGUAUUUAAACCACUACUUUAAACACUAACCUAGCAACUAUUUGUCGGUAGAGACCAUGAAACCACGACCACACACCUAUAUAACGUAAAUCACUAAGCCAUAUAAGCAUCAGGAAACUAAGGAAAACUAAUGAAUUAAUUGCAACCACAUUUACAAUUGCAAAAUGUUUGAAAUAGUGAGGAUAGAAGUAAAUCAUACCCCAUAUCAUGUCAAAAGCUUGAUAUGAGCCUCUAGCAACAUGCUUUAUCAACAGCAUGGCAAGGGAAUGUAAUUAUAUCUAGCAAAAAGCAUGAAUAAAUUUAGAUUGAAUGGGAAGAAUAAGGGAAUCAAAGAAGAAUAAUCUAGAAGGCGAAUAAGGAAAGCCUCUGCAAAGCUUUAUGUGAUAGUUAUCACUCCUUAAAUUUGCUAUCUAAUUUUAUUUCUCUGCAUUUUCAUCUAUCUUUCUCAACCAUUUAUUUUAUCUCAGUUUGAGCCACUUCUUCUUGCAAUGUUUUUCCUUUUAUCUUUUUUUCCUAAUGUGUUAAUCUUAGUUAAGUGCUUUCAAUCCCUCACCAUUUUUUAUUCUUCCACAUUAUUUCUUCCUCAAAUUUUUUUCUUUCUCAUUGUUACUUCCCUGACUCAAUAUAUAUCCUCCAUGACAAAUUCUCCAUAACCUGAUAUGCAUCAGCUAACCUAUUUGCUCAAAUGAAUCCACUUAUGGGGAUUAUCACUAUCAAAGCACACCCACUUCGAAAAUAUCUUCUAGAAGCCUCUUAGCCUCAUCCAUGUUAAGGAGAUUUGCAAUAACAAUCCAUUAAGCUAUCAUAAGUUGCCACCACAUCCAGCCCACAAUUCUUCUUUAUCAUAGAGGUAAAGGUCAUCUAUGAUACUAUAAUAUACCAUUUCUUUUAAGAGCUUGUUGACCUGGGUCAACAAGGCUGGGAAAAAGCCAGAUACCUCUAGCUAAAACACUUUUGACUUGUCUACAUUUGCAAGUUGAAGAAAAUCCUUGAGAAGAUUUUCUUUUCUUUUUCUUUCUUUUCUUUGCUUGCACCACUUUUCUUACCUUUUUCAGUAAAGCAUGAGCUUGGAUUUGUGGUAUGACUCUUCUCAUCUGGAAGCUCAUGCACUUUUCACUUCAUUUUCAAGGGUCCUAGGUUUUCACUAUAUCAUUCCACUCCAUUUGCCAUAUCCAUCAUUCUAGAUCACUCACAAUCACAAUCCAUUCAUUCAACUAUUCUCUCCAACAUGUUUAUUUCUUGCUAUAGUUGCCCACCCAAUUUAAAUAUACUUCUCACUAAACAUACAUCAUACAUAGCAAAAAGCAGUAAAAACUAAUAUAUCAAACUUAAGAUAGGAUGUAGAUUGUCUUGAAGCAGCAAAUUUGCAUAAAUACAAGACAUGUAGCAAAUGAUUUAUGAAUGCUGGUCACACUUGAUGCACACAAGAGGCCAACCAUGAUUAUGGACAUUGUACUCAAACCCACAAACAUCAACAAUUAUGGCAAAUAGAUAGAGCCUUAUGUUGGUAGCAAUUCGAUUCAAAGAGAUGAUACUGCAGGACCAUGAUAAGAGAGAGACACUUGAUGCUUGAACGUUAGAUCCCUUGCUAUGGUGGGGUAUACGAGGGAGGAAUCAAAUGGAAGUGAAGGUCACCAAACACCAUGGAAAAAGAGGCAAAGCUGGGAGAUAUAGACCUAGAUGUUCUAAAGAGGAGAUGACCAUAGCAACCUCUCUUAGAGGGUGGAGAGCAUUCCUAGGCUGAAGGUAGUAUGAGAAUAAGAAGUAAAUAGCACCAUGGGUUUUUUAUAAUAGUUUAUAAGGGAUAUUGAUAAUGUAUAUAAUUAUUUCAUCAAACCCACAAACUGGCAUAUCAAUUGGGAAUUACACUUUAUAUAUUUGUGUUUCUUAGGUAUAGUAAUUUUCUACAUAGACAUGCAUAUUUACAAGCUUAUAAAGUUUAUUUUAAAUAUAAUUAUUUGAAGUGACAUAUUAAUAAAAACAUAGUGUGAGUGCCUAGAAUAAGAAAAGGGAAUAUAGUAAAGUGCAUAUCAAUUAGCUUAUUUAUAGGAGGGAAUGGUCUAAAUUGAAAUUCUACUAUACUAAUAUUAGUAUAUGGCAUCAUAGCCAUACAUUUGGACCACACAUCAUCCCCUCAUCUUAGAAGGGUGCAAGAUAGUCAAGGUUCUUUAGAUAAUUUAGGAUUUAGAGGAACAUUAGGAGAAGGCAUUAGUGGAUUUAUAGAUGGUGCUAGUUGUUCUUGAUCCCUUUGAUCCUUUUGAUCAACUCUAAUAACAUAAAGAAGGUCGUCCUCAAGGCUAUAUUAAGAAUGUAAAUGCCAAAACAGUAAAUCAUUAGUAAAUGAUGUAGAAUUCUCAAACCCUUUACAAAAAUUUCAAAUCCACACCUCAAUCUUUUGAGCCUUACAAACCUCAUCAAGAGAAGUUAAAUCUUACUCCACACCUUGUAAAUAUUAAACAUCAAGUAUAACAAUCACCAAUAGCAUGGAAUCUUCAUCUAAAAAAUUCAUAAAUAUUGGAACAACAAACUCAUUAGGAACAAAAUAAGAGAGUGAAAAAGGGAGAGGAACUUGACAAAGGGUAUUAUCAUUAGCUAUACAACUCCUUGAAUGAUGAACAACCUCAAAAUCAUAUAUCUGAAGCUUUAGAGUCUAUCAAACAACACUACCAACCAAAUUCUUCCAUUUUAAUAAUGAAAUAACCAUAGCAUUAUUACCUUCAAGCAACCAUGUAAAUAUGCAGCUUUUUGAAACCCUAAAUUACUAUUAAACACUCCUUUAUUGCGGAGUAAUUCACCUCUGCUAAUUGUAAUGUAUAACUAAUAUAUAUAAUGGGAUGAUGUUGAUUAAGCACUUGUACUCUAUUGCAUUAAGACACCCCCAAGAUUGAUAUCCAAGCAUCUACAUGCAAAAUGAAAGGUUGAGUGUAAUGAAGAGGAGUUGUUAAUAACUCUUUAAAAUCCAUAAAUGUUUGUUUGCGGUCUUCAAACUAAAUAAAAAAUGACAUUAACAAUUUCAGCAACAUUUGCAAUGGUGUAGUGCGAUCAGAAAGAUGAUCAAAGAAUGAUUGAAAUAUUGCAUAUUACUCAAAAAGUGUGCACAUCAUUCACACACUAGGGAAUUUGAAAUAAACACAAGUUUGUUAGGAUCAUGAAAAAUAUAGUAUCUAAGAUAAGUUAUGUUUUUGGACCUAAACACGCAUUUUAACCACUUUAGCUUUAUACCAACUUCCUGCAACUAAUUUAACACUUUCCAAAUAUCACAAAUAACAUCACUAAUAGUACUAUAGUAUAUGAACCAUCUAUUUGGGAUUAAAUCUAGUCUAUCUAUUUUUUUAUGGAAGAAAUUAAUAUAUUCCAAGCACUCAUAUUGGUGGAAGUGAGGGCAUCGCAAUUUGUACCUAAAGAGCAAAAUUUAUUAGUAAUGCUUUGCUUUAGUGUUUGAGAUUAUGCUUUUUGUUAUUAUUUCUUCAUUCUUUUUUAGAUUUAGAUCUAUAUUAGAUUUUUGCAAGAUUUAGAAUUCUAGUUAUCACUGUGCUUAGACUUGUUUUUUCUUUUGAUCUUUAUUGCAUUUUUUUCUUCUACCAUAUUACCCUAUCAUCAAUGAAAGAGUAUAUCACUUGAGGCUGUUGAUGUUACUUCGUUAAAUUGAGCUUUUGGUGCUAUAAGGUGUGAUUAUGUUAAUGUUGCACGCAUCUUUGAUGUGUUAUCAUUUCCAACUUUCGUGGGAUGUGAUUAUAUGGCUUGUCCUAUUCUUAAUGUUCUACCAUCUCUCAUUGAUGUGAAGUGUGAUCGUGACAUCAAUUAACAAGCUAUAGAUGAUGUAGUUUGAUUUUUGAAGAAUAUUCAAAAAUUGAGUUUUAUGUAAAGACGAUGUUUACAAGCUUGAAUGGAUUUUGGAUUGUGAUGAGGAACUUGAUUAUUAUGGAGGUAGCUUUGGAGAUGAAUUUAAGAUUUCACAUAUCAAUCUUUCAAUUUGCCAUUUAAUCCUUUUUCUUUACCUUCUAUUCUUUCUUAACUUUUUCUUAUUUCUCAGCCUGAGCCACUUAUUCGUUCCUCAUCUGUAAUGUUUCCUUUUUAUUGCAUAUUGGUCAUUUGUGACUUUUAUGAUUCUCAUUCUUAAUUUAGUGUUGAAUUAAAUAUUUUUUAUCCUCAUAUUAAUCUAGAUUUCAAGCAUAUGUGGGAAGUUGAGUGUUUCUUUAGCAAAGUCUUUAAUCAAUUUUAAUAUAAAGUAUUAUCUUAUUUGAAAGGUUGAGUAAUUUUGGCUAAAAGUUUGGGUUCNNNNNNNNNNNNNNNNNNNNNNNNNNNNNNNNNNNNNNNNNNNNNNNNNNNNNNNNNNNNNNNNNNNNNNNNNNNNNNNNNNNNNNNNNNNNNNNNNNNNNNNNNNNNNNNNNNNNNNNNNNNNNNNNNNNNNNNNNNNNNNNNNNNNNNNNNNNNNNNNNNNNNNNNNNNNNNNNNNNNNNNNNNNNNNNNNNNNNNNNNNNNNNNNNNNNNNNNNNNNNNNNNNNNNNNNNNNNNNNNNNNNNNNNNNNNNNNNNNNNNNNNNNNNNNNNNNNNNNNNNNNNNNNNNNNNNNNNNNNNNNNNNNNNNNNNNNNNNNNNNNNNNNNNNNNNNNNNNNNNNNNNNNNNNNNNNNNNNNNNNNNNNNNNNNNNNNNNNNNNNNNNNNNNNNNNNNNNNNNNNNNNNNNNNNNNNNNNNNNNNNNNNNNNNNNNNNNNNNNNNNNNNNNNNNNNNNNNNNNNNNNNNNNNNNNNNNNNNNNNNNNNNNNNNNNNNNNNNNNNNNNNNNNNNNNNNNNNNNNNNNNNNNNNNNNNNNNNNNNNNNNNNNNNNNNNNNNNNNNNNNNNNNNNNNNNNNNNNNNNNNNNNNNNNNNNNNNNNNNNNNNNNNNNNNNNNNNNNNNNNNNNNNNNNNNNNNNNNNNNNNNNNNNNNNNNNNNNNNNNNNNNNNNNNNNNNNNNNNNNNNNNNNNNNNNNNNNNNNNNNNNNNNNNNNNNNNNNNNNNNNNNNNNNNNNNNNNNNNNNNNNNNNNNNNNNNNNNNNNNNNNNNNNNNNNNNNNNNNNNNNNNNNNNNNNNNNNNNNNNNNNNNNNNNNNNNNNNNNNNNNNNNNNNNNNNNNNNNNNNNNNNNNNNNNNNNNNNNNNNNNNNNNNNNNNNNNNNNNNNNNNNNNNNNNNNNNNNNNNNNNNNNNNNNNNNNNNNNNNNNNNNNNNNNNNNNNNNNNNNNNNNNNNNNNNNNNNNNNNNNNNNNNNNNNNNNNNNNNNNNNNNNNNNNNNNNNNNNNNNNNNNNNNNNNNNNNNNNNNNNNNNNNNNNNNNNNNNNNNNNNNNNNNNNNNNNNNNNNNNNNNNNNNNNNNNNNNNNNNNNNNNNNNNNNNNNNNNNNNNNNNNNNNNNNNNNNNNNNNNNNNNNNNNNNNNNNNNNNNNNNNNNNNNNNNNNNNNNNNNNNNNNNNNNNNNNNNNNNNNNNNNNNNNNNNNNNNNNNNNNNNNNNNNNNNNNNNNNNNNNNNNNNNNNNNNNNNNNNNNNNNNNNNNNNNNNNNNNNNNNNNNNNNNNNNNNNNNNNNNNNNNNNNNNNNNNNNNNNNNNNNNNNNNNNNNNNNNNNNNNNNNNNNNNNNNNNNNNNNNNNNNNNNNNNNNNNNNNNNNNNNNNNNNNNNNNNNNNNNNNNNNNNNNNNNNNNNNNNNNNNNNNNNNNNNNNNNNNNNNNNNNNNNNNNNNNNNNNNNAUGAUAGCUUAUUGUGUCUACCAAACACCCUUGCUAUCAUACCUUUUUGUGUUAGUCUCAUUUUGCUCUUAAAUACUAUUUGUGGGAAGUGUUUAGAUUCGCUUAUUUGGCAUAUUUACGGAAUGUAGAGAUUGGCUUGAACACGAUGGUGUUCAUCCCGUGUCCAAAGUCACAAUCUAGGAAUAUUCUAUAUUUAGUAACUUUCGAGCUUAUCCCAGAGACUAACUCUUGGUACUAAGGGAAGCUUGGGGUGAAAGCCCAAAACAUGUGUUCUUCAAGGGGGCGGGGGGGGAGGGUCGGGGAGAUUGUGGGGGGUUCCAAAUGUAUAGUAGGGAUAGUGGUUGGAAUGCAUAUUCAACUAUCUGAGACAUUAGUUUGGCACCUAUUAGGUUGUGUCAUUCCUUAUUUUGCGUCUGGCUUAGGUCUAAGCCUAAGCCCCAUGCUGUUCUAGUCAGUGGGGUACCUUCCUCCUCAUGUUAGGCCACUGAUAUGCCAAAAUUGUGCCAGACUCUGUCUGACACCAUUUUGCAUGCAAGUGUUGGAUACGAGGAGCUGGUUCUCAUGGGAUCGUACCGGACCUUCGUUUCGUACCGCAAUGGGCUUAGAGUUCAGCUCCAAAUUCAGGUGCGCUAGAUUUGGUAUCAGAGGAAUUGUUUCAGUGAUUCCUAUCCAACUUUUGUCGGAUUUUCUGACUCAAGUUGCAUAUACAAAGACUUUUCUAGUAGAUUUGAAGCGACCUAUGUAGGAUUAGUUAGAUUGCACCAUUCGGUAAGAACGUUGUAUGCAUAUUCAAUUACUGAUAGAGGCAUGCAUGCAACUAGUGGGAUGGUGAAAAGGAACCGUGUUGAUGACACUAAAACCUUUAAACGGGCGAAUUGAGAGGAGGAAUCUCCUGCUAGAGAUGUUGUAGAAGAAGCAGAGACCGAGUCAGAAGAGGAAGAGCCAGAUGCUGCGGCACUGCAGCAUAUGGCUUAGGAAAUUGAGAUCGAGAAUUUACGAAUGGAAGUUCACAAAUUGAAAAAGGGGAACAAGAAGAGGAAGAAAGAAGCUGAAGCGGCUAAACCAGCUAAACCUAAGCAACCAGACUCCUCCUCAAGUUCUGAGGAUGAUGAAGUUCUGCAACCACCCCCAGUUGCAUGAGUUUCAAAGUUCAAACCUCCAAAACCACUCAAUUUCAGAGGCAUGUGGGACUAUCAGGUUUUGAAAGACUGGGUCUACAAUAUGGAAAACUAUUUCAUAGUGGUACGAAAGUUGCAUGCACGCAAUCCUUUCUUAUCGAUCAUGCCAAAAUUUGGUGGCGCCAGGUGUGUGCUGAAAAAGGGCAAACUAGAAGUUAGACCAAGAUGCGGUCUCAUAUCCGUAAGGAAUACUUGCCGGAUGAUCUUGGUUUGAGACUUCGCACAGAGCUACGGUAGUUAAAGCAAUGAGGGGAUCUCAUGCAUUACGUUAAUGCAUUUGCUCAGAAGUGCAUUAUGAUUACAAAUAUGAGUGACAAAGAUGCUCAAAGUUAUUUCCUAGAGGGUUUACGUUCACUUUCUCAUAAUGAGAUUUUGAAGUUUAAGCCAAAGACGUACCUGGAGUGUAAGGAGGCAGCACAACAAAUUGCCUUUAGUCACUCGCUCAUGGAACAAUAUCAAUAACUGUAUGCUAGUACUUCAGACAAGAACAAAAAUUCUGGGAAUAAACAAGGUGAUUGGAAACAAAGGGUGGAAGGCAGGUUCCACUCUAAAGGCUCAUAAGCAACAGUUAACAAAGGUGGUGGUGGUUGGAGACCACUAACAGCUUCUUCUGGUCCUAGGCCUUCUGUUCCUCCUCCUGUAUAAGUAGCAGCAAUUGGCAAAAGCUGCUCCUAGUGGAAUAGGUAGUGUGGGUCAUUGCUUCCAUUGUGGAGAGUCGGGAUAUAGGUCCUCGAAAUGUCCCAACAAGCAUAAGACAAAGUUUCAUGUUAAUUUCAUGAGGGAAGACAGUGGUGGUGAAGCUGAAGGGGUUGACGAGUUGGUCAAUGCAGACUAUGAGGAAGAGGAGAUGAGCCACUUUUGUUGCUUUCCUCAAGUUUUUCUCACAAUCAAUGCAAACACUGAUCUGUUGAUGUAUCUAAUAGGCUUUAUCCGUGGACACCAAAUCCAAGUAAUGAUUGAGACCGAAGCUAUGCACAACAUGAUAUCUGAAAACUUAGUUAAGUUGUUAAGAUUGAAUGCUGAGCAAAUGUCACCCAUACACUUUUAGUUUGCGGAAGGUGGGCAAGUAGCCAGAAAAUUUGUGAGUGAUGUUCCAAUAAAAAUAUCCAAGUGAAAGGAAAGAGUGUUCAUAAGAAUUGGCCAACAAGUAUCUUUCGAUACCCGAAGUCACAUUCGUGACAACUUUUCUAUUAAUUUUUUUUUUUUUUUAUCUCUAGUGUUGAAUUGUGUGUUGAGGAAGUUGAGUGGUAUAAAUUUCUUACUUAUCUCGUGCUAGCCAAAGUAUUUUAUCAUAGUAGAUCCUUUGUUUUCCAAGUUUUGAACAUGUCUCCUUAUUUCCUCCCCAUUUUUACUUUAAUAAUUGCUGAAAAUUCCUCUUUUGAAUUUUACUUCUUUAUCCACUUUCUCUUCUUCCACAAUAUUUUUUCCUCUCUUUUUAUCUCUUUAUCCUUUUUUCCCUGACAUUUCAAACUUUUUUUUCUUUGGAGGAGGGGGUAGAGGGGAUGGACAAGAGUCCAACCUCAACAAUGGAGUAAAGAUGAGUGGAUACAAUAGUAGAGCAAAGACAAAUGAUAUAGAUUGUAGAGUAAAGACAAACAUAAAGAGUUUGAAUAUAAUAUUCAACCUUGAUAUAAUAAGGCCAAAUGAAUGUGAUAGUGGAAUGAGACUAAACAUAAAUGGUAGAGUAAAGAUGAGUGCAACGAGUUUGAACAAAAUCAGUGCUUCAAAAAAAAAAUUCCUUCGAGGAAGAGAUAAAGAGGAUGUGGAGGACGAAUAAAGUAAGUCCAACCUCCCAUGUGUAGUGUUGGACGAGGAUGAUAGUUAUGAGUUUAAGUUAACAUAGGUUUUGGAUGUUGACCGAAGGGAAAACCCGAAAAUAAGUUUUGCUUAUAGUUAUAAGUCCAAGUUACUAAUGGUCUUGGAAGAUUAUAUAUAUAUAUGUAUGUGUGUGUGUUUAUAUAUACAUACCUUAGCUAAGUAAUACACUAAUUAUAUUACUAUAGCAUAUGGACCAUCUAUUUAAAAUUAAAUCUGAUCCAUCCAUUCUUGUAUAUAAGUAGAGGUGUAAACCCAAAUUAAUAUAUCUAUUCCCAUAUCCUAAGCACUCACACUAUUUUCUCCUUUUUUCAUAUUUUUCAAGCAUUUAUUUUGUCUCAACCUGAGACAUCUUCUUGUUAUAGUGUUUUUUCUUAUGUGCAGUAUUUUCUUUUCCUAGCAUAUUAAUCUCUUGUAAUUUAUAAUUUUUCUUCUUUAUCAAACUUCCUUGACUCAAUACACAUGUCUUCCAUGACAAGUCCUCCAUGACCCAGUAUGAAUUCACUAACCUAUUUGCUCUAGUGAAUCCAUCAAUGAGGAUUAUUGCCAUUUACCCACUUCUAGACAGCCUCUCAACCUUAUCCAUGUUGAAGAACUUUGCAAAAUCAAUCUAUUAAACACCUAAUUCUUCUCUAUCAUCUUCUUCAUAUUAAAACAUUGUUUUACCUUUGUUGACCUAAGUCAACAAACUUUUAAAAGAGCACAUGGUAUCAUAUACUAGAAAAAGUGUACAAGCAAAGAAAAGAAAGAAAAACAAAGGAAAAGAGAGGUAAAGAUCAUGAUAUUAUAAUAUCAGCAUUGGAGAAAGCAUGAGCUUGGAUUUUUACCUUAAGGUGGUAGCAACUCCUUUCAUCUAGAAGUUUAUGCAUUUUUCAGUUCUUAUGAAAGAUCAAUACAUGGAUAAUAUCAAAAUCAUAUAUUAGAGUCUUAAUUAUCAAUGAAUAAAUCUUAGAUUAGAACACAAAAGUAUUCCAAGUAAGUUAUCAUCCGAUAAACUAGAAGUAUAGUAUAGAAACCACCAAGAUCAUCAUAAUUGAUAAAGACAUGAGUCAUUAUCCAACAACAUUCAAUAGCAAGUACAUCAUCAAGUAAACUCAAUGAAAAAACUUAACUACCAAAGAUUGUAGAUAGUAUACCAAACAAGUUACCAAAAACAUCUCAAGGAACACAAGUAUCAUUGACUGGCAAGCAAAAUGCUCGCAAAUGUAUUACUCGAAGGAAAUAACAUCCAAAUCUAUUAUAACUAACUCAAGCAACAAUUAACAGAAUAAAAUGAAUGUUGCAAAACUAACAAACAUUCAUUCAUGCCAACUAUCACACUAGCCAAUCUAAAUAGAUCUUGAUCAAUAAUACCAAGGAACCAAAGUUGCUUAAGCAAGGUUUUUAGGUUUUCACUAUAUAAUUUCACUCUAUUUGCCAUCUCCAUCAUUCUAGAUUAUUCACAGUCACAAUCCAUUUAUUCAAUUACUCUCUCUAACACUAUUUAUUACUUGUUAUAGUUGCCCACCCACUUUACACACACUUCUAACUAUGCAUACAUGCUCUUAUUUGCACAAAUCCAAAACACUUAGUGGUUGAUUUAUGAAUACUAGUCACACUUAAUGCACACAAGAGACCAACCAUGACUAUGGGCACACAUUGUACCCAAACCCACAAAUUGGGGAUUAGGUAUAGUAAUUUUCUAUGUAGACAUACAUAUUUACAAGAUUUAUAUCAAAGCUUUAUUUUAAGUAUAAGUAUUUGAAGUGACUUACUAAUAAAAAAUAGAAUUUUAAAAUAAUUUCUUCAUUUAAAUAUUCUUAUAUUCUCAUAGAUGAAAACUUUAACUUAAAUAAUGAAAUAAUAAUUAUUUACUUUAAAAUUAUCUAUCUAAUACAUCAAUAUGAUCUUAUAAUAAUAAAUAUAAAAAUAAACUAUAUGAAUUUAAUAUUACACUUACUAGAAACAUUAAUGAAAAGAAAGUUACAAUAACUACCAUAUGAAUGUCCUACAAAAAACUUAUAUAUUUGAAUAUAGAAUUAAGAAAAACUAAGGAAGUUUGAACAACAUGUAUUUCAAGAAUUUGGUUUUAUAUGUUUUAAUUUGAUAUUCAAGUUGUGUUAUUGAGAAAUGUUAUACACAUAUUUGACAAUGAAUUCUUUGCAUCAUAGUAGCUUUAGAUAGAAAGAAGAUGUAUAAAUUUACAAAUGGGGGGUAAAGAUGUAUUUGAAGAUGUAUUAGUAUGACAAGCUCGUUGUUUAUAAAAAUUUUGACGUGUUCAACAACUAAAGCUUGAUAUAUGGUAUAAAUACAUGUGUUAAUUGAAAUUUAUGAAUUAUUAAAAAAUUAUGAUAUUCAAACUAUUUUUGGAUGACUUUUUAAUAAUUCUAUAUUAUUGAUAAUACUGACUAAAUUCUAAAGUAGGAUAGUCACAUAAUAAAAAUCAUGUUGCAAAGCUUUAAGAUGUUCCUAAUAUUUUUUAAAAUAUUAAUGUUUAUAAAAUAUAAAAAACAUAUAAUAUUGUAAGCUCUGUAGUAUAAAAGAUGGUUAGCUACUGUCUUAUAAUUUAAUUCUUCAUACUAUUACUUAUUUAUUUUAAUCCAUUGGACUGUUUUGAUAACAUUUUUAGUCUAUGGUAUCCUUAUGGUUUUAAUCACUAUCAGAGGCACCUGUCCAAGCAAGAUCAAGACUGCAAUUGCUAAUUGAAUUUGAAAAUGACUCCAAGAGAAAACAUUAUGAAGUAAUCCAAACUUUUUCCUUGUUAUAUCACUCAUAUAUUGUUCUUCAAACUCCUCUCUCCUCACCUCAACUCUUUUUUACUUCUAUACUUCUUUCUUAUUUUCCUCUUUCUUCCCUUUAUAAUUUUUACUUGUACUUUUAAUGCUCAACCAAAUUAUCAUUCUCAUAAGCCUCUAUCCACUAACUAAGUUUUUCCUCUCUUUUGUUCUUUUUAUUGGUGUCCCUCUUUUCAAGCUACACUAUUCUUCCUUCAAACUCCUAAGAUUUUCUUAUCUAAUUUUUUUAUUUUUUUAAUUAUUUUUUCUUUUAUCUUUAUGUGUUUGCCUUAUGUAACUUUAUUUUUCUUUAUAUUUAGAUUAUUUUUAUUUAUUUAUUUUAAUUUUUUGUUUCAAUUUAUUUUUUCUUGCUUAUCACUUCUACUUGUUUUUGUAGACGAAGAAAUGUAAUAUUUUGUAAAAUAGUAUUUGAGAUCUAGAUAAAGUACCAAACUUAGAUGUUUUGAACUUAAACACUUAAAGCUUUUCUACUAAAUGAAUCAAGAUAAAUAAUUUGCAUUUAUGUUUUCUAUUAAUGAUUUUCAUAAAUAUAUUCAUAAAAUCUCUUUGUUAUUCAAGCACUGCUAGUGAACAUUGUUAUGUAUAUAAUCGGCAUUUAAGAAUUACAAAUGGUGAGUAUUGUCGUGCUUCAAUAGAUAUGUUAAAUGAAUGGACUAGAAAUCCAUACAGAGUAACUUAUACUCACUACUCUCAAUAUCUUAUUUUUGAUUUAGUAAUAACAUCAUCUCAGGAUAUUGUAGAAACUAGAAGUGAUAUUAUACAAGCUAUAAGAUUUAUACAAAGAAAUUGUAUUAGACAUCAAAUAGGGGGUUAUGUUCAACUUAUAAAUCGGUCUCUAUAUUUAUCAGUACAAAUAACAUCCAUCUGAAUUAAAUUCAUUACAAGACUAGAAAAUCAUUAAUUGGGAUAUUUAUUAAAGUUAUUUAUCAUUAGACUCAAACAGUUUCAGACAUUUUCUUGCAAGAUAUCAAGAGAUAUAAUAGAUCAAUAAGGAUUCUUAGCAAUAGAUAUUGAAGUAUUUCAAUAAAUAAAUAGAAUAUAUCUUUGUAUGGUAUUUAAAAAUAUAUUAUCUGUAUUUAUUAUUAGAUCAAUAUGCAACUGAUAUUCUUUGGAAUAUACUUAGGAAUGCCCUAAAUUUGUAGUAGGCGCCAUGGUGCUGCGGUGCGCCCUCCUCCAGCUCCAAUCAUCCGCAUUUCGGCGCUAUGCCACUGUAAGUACCUCACAUCGCAUCACAGCGCUUUAUCCUACGAGAUAUCGAGCGAGGCAGCAGCAUUUCAGCACAGGCCUGAGCUCCGGCACAAGCGCCACGGGUGGAUUUCCUUCUCCUUCCCCGGUCUCGGACGAGCACUCCCUGAGUGUGGCUAGUAUGACGAUCGCUUUCGACAGGGCGCUGCUGGAGCGGCGAACGGAGGAUGCUGUGUUUGCGGUAGAUGGGCUUAGAAGGAAAGGCUCGUUUCCAAGCCGGGAUAGUCUCAGCACUCUGAUAUCGCAGCUAGCCUACAAGCAGACACCGCUCAGUCUUUCCCAGGCUGAUAGAUUGAUCCAAGACUUGGUGGCGUCGCGCAGAGAGGAUCUCUUGGAUCAAAACAGCCUCUCGCUUCUAGCGCUCGCCUACGCCGGCGUUGGCAUGGCCAACUUCUCUCGGUCGACUUUGCGGCUCAUGUUCCAGACCGGGCUCUAUCCUCCGGUGAGAGUCUGGACAGCGGUGGUGAGCAAGAUCGCCGAGAGUUUCUCCGAGGCUCCAGCGGCCCUGGAGCUUUUCAAAGAGAUUUGCAAGCUCACGGGUGGGACUGUGGACGCGAGCAGUAGAGAGCCGUGUAAGAUGGUGGAGGAGCCGGACCCGGUGGCCAGGAUCAUCAAGUUGAUGGACUUUGCAAUGAUGCCGAAAGGCAACGAGGAGCUCUUGGUUUCGAUGAGGCCGGACGUCACGUCGUUUAACUCGGCUCUCCGGAUCUGUGCGACGCUGGCCGACACGCAGAAUGCCGAGGAGAUUUUCCACAGCAUGAGCUUGUUUGGUGUGCUUCCAAACAGCGACUCGUUUGAGCUGCUUAUCAAGGUUUAUGGGAAGGCCAGGCGAUUCGACUUGUUCCGGAAGGUUCCACAGAGAAUGGAGGCUGCCUGCGUCAGGCCCAGUGCGUCGACUCUCAAGGCUCUCAUCGACGCUUAUGUGGAGUCGGGCAACAUAGAGGAGGCCGAGAAGGUUUUGCAAAAGACGGUGCAAGGGAAGAGCAGCUUGUGGAACCUUGUGAAGCUGGAAGGAGACGUCUACAACAGCUUACUCAAGGCGUAUGCGUUAGAAGCGAGGCUGAGCGACGCUGCCAACCUUUUGAGCAGCGUGCCUCUCGAGGACGCAGGGACGGGGCUGGAUCAAGCCAGAGUCGUGGCGAGCAUGAUAGCGUCGGGAAUGCUCAAGGAGAUUUGCUCCAUUCUUCAGUACAUGCUACAGCACCGGAUGGAAGUCUCGUUCUCGGCCUACAAGUCGCUAAUGCACGGGUUCUGCGCCAACAAUCAGCUGGACAAGGCGGCGAGCUUUAUAAUCCUGAUGAAGAGAGCCGGGAUCAAGCCCGACUGUUCCAUCUACGGCCCUCUCAUCCAGGGACUCGUGAGGUGCCGAGACAGGCUACUCGCUUAUCACACGUUUCUGGAGAUGGUCGAGGCGAGAAUCGUUCCAGACGAGGCAACUUACGUCUCCUUGCUGAAGGCCUUGACGGUGGAAGAGCGAGCGAGCAAGAUGGUUAGAGUGCUGGAGGCGGUGAUGGAGUUCCCGAGCGUCAAGAUCAGCCUCUUCUCCUGGAACUUGGUGAUCGAGUACUGCUCGAAGAAGAAGCUGAUAGGGGACGCGCAGAGGAUGCUGGCUAGGAUGGCUCCGGCGGGUGUUCAGCCGGAUAGCUACUCGUACUGGUACGUUGUCAAGGGGCUGAUCACGCGGAGCCGGCUGACAGACGUUCUGGGACUUUGGCCACAGAUACAGUUUGCAUCGAGGAGAGAUCGGCCAAACAGGAUAAUCCUCCACAAGCAGCUCGUGGAGACGCUCAUGUAUGCGUUCGUGAAGGGUGCCAACUUCGCCCAAGCGCUGGAGCUUCUCGAGUAUGCCAAAGAGGAGGACAUCCCACUGGACAGGGAAGCGUUCAAGGACUUGUUCCUCAAGUACCACUCGCAUCGUUUCACCAGCAAGCACAAGUCUCCGUUGAGAGUUUACGGGCGCCAGCAGCAGCUCCUGGAGAUGGAGGAGUUUAAGAAGUGGCUCAGCCUCGGUGCGGUCAAAACUCCUGCUCGCUAUGCUAAGUACGUAAUCCAUCUUUGUUUUUUUAAUUUGUUGUUUGCUUGGUUGCUUAUUUCUUUGUUGGACUUUGAGCAGGAUUCUGAAAUAUGGACCAUUCAAACGCGAUGAAGGGCCGUUCUUUUAAAAUUGUAAAUAUGUUUCUGGCAUCAGAAGUAGGGAGUCUGGCUAUUAUCUGAGAGGAGGAGGAGGAGAUGGUGGAAUGCACUCAAGCUCUUUCGUUUGGUUCAUGUGAAGUGAGCAGAUUGAUAAGUCCUUCAAUUUAAAGGAUAACUCUGCAAACUCGAAAAAUGGAGAAUGAAUGGAGAAUGACACUACUGACAGCACAGGAAGAUUUUGUUCAUUACAGAACUUGUCUUGGAGAAUAUGUUGUACAAGUGAGCAUGAGGUUGUUGGCAUUGAUGGCAUUCCAAGUCCCAGCCACAAAUACUUUAGUCAUCCUCACAUGAGCAUGACUAAGAGCAUGCAUGGCUCAUACUCUACUCUAUGUAAAGACUCAAUCUAUAUGGCACAAAUGGGUAACAAACUCAUUUUUUAUUCUAACUUUUGUGUUAUUAUUAAUGUUAACACUGGUGCAAUCAUAAUAACAGCUCCAAGAGAGUAAUCUUUAUUACUUGGGGAAUGAACAAUUCAAUCUUGCCACUGCCAACAAAAACAACACUGAAAUAUGGCAUUUAAGAGUUGGCUAUUUAAGUCUUAAAGAGUUUAAAAACUUUUGAAGGCAUGGUGACAAGCCUAACUCUUCCUAUUUCUUCCACUAUCAGCUUGUGAAGCUUGUGUUUUGGGGAAGUAACAUGGAAAAUCUUUUACCGAAGAAGACGAAGAAGAAGAAUAAGAAAAAGAAGAAGAAGGGUGAGCGGGUGGUCGGUGGGUCAUCACGAAGAGGGCUCCUGGCUGGUGGCCUCCCCUCGAUGUCGAGCCACUCUGAUGCUGGGAUGGACACGACGGGUGCUGCUCUCUGUCCGGGGCUGUAUAUGGUGAUGGGUGGCAGCAGUGGCAGUGCAUGAUUGGUUCAUAUGCUAUUAACCCCUUAGAGCUAAUUAAAAAAGAUUUUCUAGAGAUUACUUUACAGCUUCAUAUCCACUUGUCAUAGGCAAAAAUUCCAUGAAAAAACAAGUGACAAAGAAAGAAAAAAUUUGGUGCAUGAUCACAUGGUUGAGUUGUCUUUAGCUCUUUUUUUUUCAUAUCACUGAUGAAAAGUUGUAUUCUUAUAAAUCAUGUAGCCCCUUUUAAUUUUGGAUUUCCAUUUUUCUACAAUCACCAUUAGCCAUUCUCCUCAAACAAUUGCCAAGGCCUUUUCAUUAAAAGUGUCACUAGCACUAGCUUAUAUCCAGACACUACAACACGAGCACAUUUCUUGAGAAAUCCUUGUCUAGAUCUUUAUAUUGGAUUUGUGAACUGGUCAGAAGCAUCAAUCAUGGGUAAUGCUGAUAUAACCACAAAAUAAAUUAGAACCAUCAAAAAUUAAAACCAAAUGGCAAACCAAAAAACCAAACACUCAGUUAAUUAAGAUAAUUCAAACUUUUUGGGAGAAAUAAGAAUGCAAGGCUUAAUAAGAAAAAUGAAUAUUUUUUAAUUUUUUUUUGUAUUCUAUGUAUUUACAGAUGUUCUGUAUUGUUUUCUAAAGUUAAAUUUCACUUUCUUUCUUUUUCUUUUAACGUUUUUUAUUUAAAUUUUUCUCUUCUAAUACAUAUUUUAUACACCUUUAUUUAUUAAUUUAUUAAUUACAUUUUUAUUUUUAUUUUUAUAUUUUAAUAUAUAAAUAACAUGGCAGUAAGGAUUAAUAAAGGCUUAACUUUGUGAUUUAUUAGCUUAAAAUUACAUGCCAUUAGUGUUAAAUAUUAUAAAUAAUGAUUAAAAGUUUUUAAAUAAUAUGUGUUAUAAUAUUUUAUUUUUAUUUUAUGUAUAUAAUUUUAUAAAAACUUUUGGAUACUCCAGCCUGCUAUAGAAUCUUGUUAUACAAAUUGUUAAUAUUCAAGAAUUAGUAACAGUGAAUAUUGUAAUGUUUCAACAUGUAUGUUAGCUCAAUGAACUAAAGAUCUAUUUAGAAGAAGGUAUAGAGAAAACUUUUUAAAUCUUAGACUUGUUUUAGUAACAUUAACAAGAGCAACUUGUCAUCUUAUAAAAACUAGAAGUGACAUUGAACAAGCUAUAAGAUUUAUAAAAAUAAAUUGUAUUAAAAAUAAUUUAGGGGGAUAUGUUAGACUCAGAAAUCGAUCAUUAAUUUUAUCAGUAGAAAUAACUCCUUUUCAAUUAAUUAUGCUACAAGAUCAAGAUUUUAAUUUCACAUGAAUACAUUUCUUAUAUUAAUAAUUAUAAACAAUGACACAUACUUGUAUCUUAUAUAGGAUAUUUGUGAACUGCUAACCAUUAAGUAGAUUGAUAGUUUAUAAAAUCUUACUAUUAGUUAAAUUGAUAGUUUGUGAAGUCCCACAAUUGUGCAAAUUGAUAGUCUCUCUUUACUAUAGUGUAGCAUAUGUAAUGUAUAACUUAAUUUUUGGUAAAUAAUGAUAAUUGAGCUUUUAUGGUGUAAGUGUUACAUAUACUGAGGUAAAACCAAAAUUAUGAUUCAAUAUUGUACAAAAUUAAAUAUGUGUAAAGGUUUAUAAUAUAUAUUUUACUAGACUAAGUUUGCAUGCACUACCAAAUAACUAAUGAUUCACAUGUUUUACCUUUGACCUAUUUUUAAAUAUUUCAAUGAAAAGUGAGUCAGCUAGAAUUCCUAAUGACAGCAAAUGUACAAAUUAGAAGUUUGUGAGGCACAUCCCAUGCAAUUGAAAUAAAUGCAAGUUGUUAUUGCCUCAUUGUUAGAAGUUCUUGCAUCUAUAAGCAACAUUAAAUUAGACAAAUAGUACUAAUUUAAUGAGCCUAUUUAAAUUUUAUAAUUUAAUAAUGCUAAAGUUAUGUCAUUUGGGCUAAUCCUAAUGUUAGAAAUUCUUAACAUUAAAAUCAUUAAUUAAAACAUUCAUUUAAGAGUUUUUACAGCCUUCCUUCCUUUUCAUUGGGAGGUGGUGGUCCAUUCAUGGGGCCACCAUAAGCAUUGCACAAACACCUAUAAUAGGCAUCUCAUUGGGCUAAAUUCAUGACACUAAUGCACUUUUAUGGGUCAGCCCUACCUCUAGCUUGCUACCAAACUACCAUAGGUGUGUAGAAGAAGGUGGAUUGGUUUUUUUUUUUUAAAUCUCCCUCUGGGGAGCUGAAAUAUAGAGGUGUAAUAUGUCUAAAAUUUGUGUAUAAAAAGGUUUUAUAUAUAUAUAUAUAUAUAUAUAUAUAUAUAUAUAUAUAUAUAUAUAUUAGCUAAAUGGAACUACUUUCACUUUCCAUUAAUAACUACCAAUCUAAAAAUAAUAGCCUCAAAGCUAUAAUAUUAAUAAGAUAUUCUUCUAAUAGAUUAUACCUGCAUGCUGAAUAAGAAAAGAAGUGAACAUCAACAGUUAUAAAAUAAACAAUAUUAACAAGAGAACCAUAAUUUUUAUGCUUCUCAUCUAACAAAUUAAAUUAACUUUAAAUUUUAUUUAUUAUCCUAUUUUAAUGAUAAAUUAAGUAGUAUUAACUCAUAGAUUAAUAUUUGACCCUAAGUACAUUUAUGUAUGUAAAACAUAGAACUUGGCCUAUAAAAUUAACCUAAAAUAAGUUAAUGUAUGUUCAAAUGCUUCAAUGGCCUUUGCCAUGGAAUUGUCCACGACUUUCUGGAUGAAAUCAAUGUCUUUGCCUUGCUUCUUAAGAACCAAUGCAAGGCUCUGUCAAGAGCAAGAAAGAAAGAAACAAAAAAUCACUUCUUGCAAACAAAAAUGCUCUCUGAAGCUUACCUGGAAUGCUCUAAGGAACAGAGGAUCCACCUUUAUGGCAUCUUCAAACUCCUUGAGAGCAUUGUCCAAAUCUCCAAUGUACUCGUAAGCAUGGCCAUAGAUGAAUCUAAACUUUAACUAUGACAGAUACAUGUUGAUGAGCUUGGAAAGGACCUUGAUCACCACUCGCAUGUCCUUAUUUAGCUCUAAACUUUAAUUUUUAUAAAUUUCAACCAAAAAUUUUAAUUACGCCUAAUAUACUUCAAUUCACUAAUUUAAUUUAAGUGAAAAGGUUGAAGGAAUUAUAUGUUUUAAGUGAUCAUACUAAUAGUCAUCUUUGUUCUUCAUGCUCAAAGAAUAGACAAGUCCUUGUAGAAGCAUUACUAGUAUGAUUAUUUGGGUAGUGGUGAGUUUGAUCAAAUGGUGAUGAUGAGGAUUGUUUGCUGAUGCUCAUGCUCAUGCUCAUAGAAGCACUCCAUGGAAGUUUGGAGAAAUGCAUGGGUUUUUAUACAUGGUGGUGGUGAAAGAUUGCUAGUGGCACUACUCUAGAGGGAUCAAGAUGGCACCAAUAACACUAAAAGAUCUACUUACAUAGGCCACUAUGGUUGAUAUCACUUUAAGUUGAGCAUUGCCUCUUUGUCCUUAGACGGGGUAAGCAAUAGAACCAAGAACAUCCCAAAUCUCUUCAGCUGCUUCAUAGUUAUAGAGGCCAUCAACUUAGAGAAUAAUAAAACAAACAAAAUCUAGCUAAGCCAUAAACCCAAGAUCCAAAAAAAGGCAGAUGUCUAUCUUUAUCUUUGAGUUCUAGCUUUGAUUUUCUAAUUAUAAUACAAUUUCAAAAUAAAGAUUCUUCAAAUAAAUCUACUAAAUUGAAAGUAGUUCAAUUUAAAAUUGUCAUUCAAAUUGCAAAGUGGCAAAAUCAAGCCAUUAAAAAUACUCAUGCAAUGACUAACAAAUGUGUCCUUAACAUAAAAGCCUUACCUGGUUCAUUAAAGAAUACAAAGGAGCUUAGAAUCAAAGAGGACUUUGAGCCACAUGCUUUCAUGGUAGACUCUAUGCUAUGAAAGGGGUUUAUUGCUAUUGACCCCAAAGGAAUUCUGACAUAGGGCAACUACAUAGAAGAGUCAUAUUUUGAAGUAUUAAUUUGGAAUAUGCAUAGUGAUGUAAAUGUGGAUCCCUAAUCAUUAUUGUGGUCCUAUCAUUCUUACCACUACCUCUACUAAUGCCACAAGGGCGAAAAAAUUGAUGCUCUUUGUAAAAAAAUGUUUUGGCCAUUUCACUCUACAAAAAUGGGUGAAAUUUUGAUAUGCCUUUUAAAUUAAUUAAAUUUCUUCCAUUGAAUUAAAAUAAAUAUUCUUUCUGAAUAUUCUUUUAUAGGCUAGAAUAUUUUAGGUUGAUUAGAACUCUUGCUACUUCCAAGAGUCUGAUCAUACUCCUUACUCCUUCUGCUUUCAAAGGAUAGGAUGAAUGCCCUUUUUCUCAACAAGCUAAUUUAGUCAAGAAAUGUAUAAACCCUAUUACAACAAGAAUUACAUAUACUGCCUUCUUAUUAGUGUUUGUUACAAUAGGAACCAUUUAUAAUGACUAUUGAGCACAAUCCAAUCAGGACAAGUGAAGAAUCUUUUAGCUUUGUUUUUUUUCUUCACUUAUAUUUUACUUUCUCUCUUUUUGUUUUGAGAAUUUUUUUACCAUUCUUAAAAAUAGGCAAUUUCUUUUUUUUUUUCAAUUGAAGGGGAGAUUUGAAAAUCAUAUUUCAUCCAAAAAUCAAACCCCACCCUUCAAAUUUAUAUCUUGAUUGCUAUUGUGGGAAAGAUCCCACCACAUAGGAUUUUAAGCAAGAAUUCUUAUCAUUGCCACCAUCACCAUAUCUAGUAUUAUUGUUAGAAAGACUCCUAUUAUAUAGAUGUUUCUUGGUGUUAUCAGGAUGCUACUUUUGCAACUCCUCAUCCUUAAGUGCUCAAGCAUCCAUGAACAAUUCCUCUAGUGACUUGGAAGCUUGAAUAGACUUUAUAAGUUCACAUAUGUUGCAAUUACACAAUUGUAGAAAUUCAAAUAGAUCUCAUGAGCUAUACUGGAUUGAAUCAUGAUAAGUACAAGGAAAAUGAGAAUAAAAAGAAGAAAGAAAGAGGAAGAGGUCAGCCUCAAGCUUUGGCUCCACUUUGCCUCCAUAUAUCACCUUCUAACAUUACAUCCCCUCCCAAAAAAGUUUAGUUGGCCCCUCAGCUUCUGUUGGUAAAAUGAGAGACCAUUAGAAGGUCUCAUAUAGGAACUUAAGUUGAUCAUGAGUGAUCCAAGUAUCUGUGGUAGAGUCAAUUCCAGCCCAACAAACCCAAAAAUAAGGAAUUCGUCAUCAGCAUAAGUUGUGAUAAACCACCUUGACCACAUGAUUUGGCUGAAGCAAAGUUUGAUCCUCACAAACUUGCUAAGGGAGAGGAACACUAGAUGAUGUAGUAGCUGCUAGAGGUCCCAUAUAGAAUUUCAACUCCGAAACAUAUAAGACAUCAUGACAAUGCUAGCAACUGCAACUUGUAUGCUACCUCAUUCACAUGCUCCAUAAUCUCAAAAGGCCUGAAGAACAUUGGAUGGAGCUUGGAAUGAGCAGUAGCAUGAUGACUCAAGGUGUUGUUCUAGGUGAAACUUGACAUAAACCCAGUCCCCAACCUGGAAUUCUCAAAAAGAAUGAGAUUUGUUAGCUGAAACUUUCAUAACAUGGUGAACCACUUCCAAACAACAAUGCAACUGCUACUAAAAAUUCUCCAUCUCAUGAAUAUGGAGGAGCAUGUCAGAGGCAUGAACCAUCUCACCCAGAAUUGGAAACUUGCAAACCUCUUUGCCAUAUAACACCUUGAAAAGAGCUAUAUCAAUAGCUGAAUGGAAAGUUGUGUUAUAUACAAACUUAGCAAAAUGCAGCUACUAAAGCUAAGAAUAUGGUUUGUCUAAUAUAAAGCUGUGAAGAAAAACCUCCAACGUUUGAUUGGUGCACUUUGUUUGGCCAUCACUUUGAGGGUGAUAGGCACUAGAAAAAUUCAACUGGAUGCCCAAGUGCCUAAACAUGGAUGUUUAGAAUAUACUCAUGAACUUAGUAUCCCGGUCUGAGACAAUAGCCUGAGGAAGUCCAUGGUGACAAAUGACUUUCAACCAAAACACCUCGGCAACUUUUUUAGCUGAAUUGGUUGUGGGCCACAUUUGUAAAAUGGUCUACCACCAUGAAGAUGGAAUCAUAACCUCGCACUAUCAGAAUGCCAACAAUAAAGUCCAUAGAAAUGCUGUAAAAAGAGGCUGUAGUUGAUAGUAAUGGCAAAAGAAGUUUUAGAGUAACUAUAAUUUCUACCUUCUUGACUUGACAAACUUGCAUUUUUGGAUCUAUUCCCAAACCUCCCUUUGCAAGCCCUUCUAAUAAAGCCAUUGUCGAAUAGUAGUUGUAGUUCCCCUGACUCUUGGAUGUCCAACCAAAAGAUUGGAGUGACAUUCCCGGAAAAUAUCCUUGAUGACUAGCACUCAAAAUGAUCAUACCUUUCCUUUGUGAUAUGUAUACUUAUCAUGAGUGUAGUCAUUGUUAGAAUGAAAAGAAUGCUAAAUUGCUACUAAGUCUAGAUUUGAUUUGUAUCCUUCCUAAAUUUUGUUAAUAUAUGCAGUUAGAAAUGCUAGAUAAAGAGGAUGUUUUUAGUUGCUUAGAGCAGUGCAAUAGAGCAUCAAGAAGGAUAUUACUUUUUCUUGGGCAAAAUUAAUUGUAAAGUCCAAAUCUUAGAGAAUUUCGACCCACCACUAUUGUUUCUUGAAGAGAUGUUGUUGCUCCAAGAUAAACUUAAGACUAUAAUGGUCAGUGCAAAGAAUGAAAUGUUUAAGCAAAAGAUAAUGCCACCAUCUUUUAUAUAGCAUGGAUGACUACAAGCAUCUUUUUCUUAUAAACAAGGAGGUGAGACUACAAGACUAAAACAUAUUGGCUAUCAAAAGCUAUAAAGUCAUCUCCUUGAUAAAGAAUUGCACCUACACUUGCAUCUGAUACAUCAGUCUCAAUAAUGUAUUAUUGCAAAAAUCUGGAGUAAAGGUAUUGUUAGCUAAAUUUGCUUCAAUGUCUCGAAUGAAAGCUGAGCUACAUUGGACCACGAGAAAUCUGAUGAAUGAAGAAUAUCACUAAGUGGUGCAACAAUUGAUACAAAAUCCCGAAUAAAGUGUCGGAAGUAAUUUAUGAACCUAUAAAAAGCUCAUAGUUUUUUUAUUAACUUUGGGACUAGCCAAUCUAUAACCACUUGAAGUUUAGAAGCAUCAACCCAUACCUUUCUAUGCUUACCAUAAAAUCCUAAGUAUUGUAAAGGAACACUUUGAAAGCUUAGAAAAUUUCCUUCCAAAACCAAGUGUAAACAAUUAAAGAAAACAAUUUAAAAGAUGAUCUAUAAAUUUCAAAUAUAGAGCGAAAGGGCCUAUGAAUAAAAGUACACCCCUUUUUUCAAUCAGUUUUAGGGGUUUUGAGAUACUUGGGGUUAAGUGUUCUUGGGUUUGAAUAGUAUUGGGUUGGAUGACUUAUCAGGAAGUCCAAAAUCCAAGAACUUAUAUUUGGUAUUAGAGGGGUUUCAAGUCUAAUUCUAUUGGUUAGCUUAGGGGGAGGGGUAGGGUGUCAAGAGAGUGGUGCUCUCAGCUUUUAUUCAUGAGGGUGUGAAUUUGUAGGGAAGCAUGGUGAAUUUAUAGGGUUUAAAUAUAGAAAGAAAAAGCCCAUGAAUAAAAGUGCACCCCCUUUUUUAAUCGAUUAAGGGUUUUGGGAUAUUUGGAGUUAACUGUUCUUGAGUUUGAAUAGUAUUAGGUUAGGUGACUUCUCAGGAAGUCCAAAAUCUAAAAGCUUACACCGAGAGGAUGUUCUCAACAUGUCAUAAGUGUUCAAACCAAUCUAUGCUAUAAAUCAAAAUAUCAUCAAAGGAAAUAAUAAUGAACUAGAAGAGAUACUUAGCUAACAAUCUAUUCACCAUGCUUUGGAACAUAACUAGGACAUUAGUGAAACCAAGUGGCAUCACUUAGAACUAGAAUAGUCCACAAUACGUCCUAAAAGCUAUAUUGGGUCAUGCAUAACAAUUUAGUAAUAACUGGAACAAAGAUCAAAUUUUAAGAAGUACUUUGUCUAUCCAAGCUCAUCCAAUAGUUCAUCUACCUGUGGAAUUAGAAACUGGUUUUUAACUUUAAUCCUGUUCAACACUUUAUAGUCCACCACCAACUGCCAAGAUCCAUCCUUUUUCAUCACCAACAAAACUGGUGAUGCAAAUGGACUAAAACUCUCCUAAACCAAACCCUCUUGCUGUAGUUCAUCUACCAUGUAAUCAGUGAUCAUUUGCUCCUUGCAACUUAUAUGUAUAGCUGGAGAGUUCACUGCUACUAAAUGCGGCUCCAACUCUAUUCAAUACAUAAUACCAACCACUUUGCUACUAUUGCCCAUAAUGCACUUAGAAAACAUGCUAAUAUGUCACUUAGCCACCUCUUUAAGCUCUAGAGCCAUAUUUGUCAAAAAUGUCUAAAAUAGCCUCAUCUAAUAUUGCAGUCUUUGUUCUCAUCUGAUCCUCUUGAAGACCUAGAUCAACUUGCUGGUUGUGGCUUGUUCCCAAGGACUCAUGAUGCACUGCCACUUUCUUUGCUGCUUUUUUUUGGUGCUUUGGCCUCCAAAAAAUCAAAUCUCCAUUGCUUUCUUCGCAGUGCUUUUCCACUAUUUGUGCACCAGGCUAGAGUUAAAAGCUUGAGCCCUAUUGCUUUUUUCACAGUGUGUUGCUACUUUCUUCCCACCCGGCUCAAGCUGCCCACCUAGGUCCUUACUACUUUCUUCACAAUGUUUAUCUGCUUUCCUCACACUUGGACCCAUGAAAUCGCUCUGGAGUGCCCUCAAUUCCUGAAGGUAUGAUAUAAACGAAACUCGUUGCAUGCCUUCGAAUAAACCCUAAACUAGCUCCAAAAGUCUUGCAUUUUAUGGUACACAAGACAUUCCCCACCACCUUAGAUUAACUGUUGACACUGAGAUGUAGAAGCUUCUCGUACUUUGGAAAAGGAAUGAACCCCCCUUCAUUCAACUUGUUGCCCUGCAAAGGUGAAUGAGAGUCUUUGAUCUGUGAAGUUGACAGUUAUGUCUCUAAAUCUCUACAGCAUUUGCACUCCCAAGACUAUAUCAACCACUCCCAUCUCCAUAACAUAGAAGGUCUCCAUAAAAGAGAAUGAAUCCAUUUGGAAGAGUAUGUAACAACUCGAUCCAUGUGGAUCAUUCCUCCAUUGGCAAUUUUGACCUCCAAGGGAAUAUGAGCUAGUUGAGUGGAAAUACACAAUCUAGAUAGUGAUUGGGCAUUGUUAAAGGAAUGAGAUGUGCCAGAGUUUACCAAAGCAAAUACUUGUUGUUCUUGACUCUAAUACACUAUAGACCUGUUUUCCCUAUGAAGGAUGGGAGUGAGAUGGUAGCACCCAGAAAUGCUCCAUCCCCAUCUCCUUGAGUUGAAGUUUUGCCUUCCCACACAAAGAUAUCAUACUGGAAAUCCAAGUCUUUGAAUGCCAUUGGAAUUAAAUCUCCUGCUUUGUUGUGUCCCUAUGGUUGUCUUGCACAAGCUUUGCAUACCUAACAAUGGCCAUGCUCCCACUUAGCUCCAUAGUCAAAACAUUGGCCCAAUUUCAUGUCUUUUAAGCACUUUGUGAAUUGGAUGGUGGGACUAAAGAAGGUGCCAACUUAAUUGGAGUCAAAGAAUUGCCAUUGCCUAGUCUGCCCAACCCUGAUUCUCUAGAAAGUGUCCUUGGUUGAAGGUGAGGCCACUCUUGGUGCAACCAGCUCAUAGUCUCUCACUCCUUAUACUUGAGGUCUAUAUUCAAAGUUAGUUGUAUGGCUUGGUGAACCAAUGAAGGUGCCAAUUGUGCAAUAUCAGCUCCCAUUGAAGUCAAUAACACUGCAACAUAUCACUGAACCAAAGCUGAUUCCAGAAUGUUGUCAACUCCAAACUUAGCUUGUACCCAAUUGAAUGUUUGGAGAGUUGCAUUUUAGGAUUGCAGUAGAGGUCACAAAGCUUGUUGAAGGGAAAAUCCUGGACAAUAAACAAAAUGAACUCCUUCAUGAGCAUGACUUUGAAUGUUUCCCAAUUUGGAAAUAUUUGUGCACACUCCAGGCUACCAUACCACUCUGAGGCUAAGUCUGUGAGAUAGUUAGUAAUAAGUGGAACUUUCUCCACAUCAUGAGGCUCCUGCAUGAUGAAGUUGCACUUGUGCCUUCUAAUCCAGUUGAGUAGUUUAUGGCAAUCAUUCUCCCCACUACAUCUCAGUAGCUGACAUUUGUCCUUGUUCCACUUGGAUGAAGACAAGAAUGGUGUUCUACCUAGUAGUCCUUGGCUCUUGGAUGAAAAGGAAGGUGGACUUAGCUCCACAAGAUCCUCCAUCUUCAUCCUAGCCCAUAAAUUUUUGUACCAUGGUCUAAAGUGUUGCUCAGAAAAGAGUUUUGUUUGUUCUUCCCACUAAUGAGGAAUCUUUGGAAAAGCUCCUCCAGUUCUCUAUGUCGAAGAAGCUGACUGUUGCUCUUCCAUUUUGGACUCCAAGAUCUAUUGCCUUUCAGCCAUAUCUUGCAAGAUCAUUGCCCCCUUGCUCUAUUUCUCCACUAGCAUGCAAAUCUCAGCUUACAUGUCACAGAAAUUGGCCAAAACUCAUUGUUGCUAAAGGAGAUUUUGUUCUGCCAUGACUUGCAUGGUUAGCUAUUAGAGAACUGCCAAUGUGCCGGUCGCAUUCUUGUUGUCAGCUAUGCUGUGUACCUGAUCAUCAUAUUCUUGCUCCAACUCUUCAUCUUCCAUAACUUGCUGCUGUUUUGGGUGCCUAGUUACAAACUUGGCUAGAGGUGAUGGUGAAGCCAUCCAACCACCAAACCUAUUUCUCUAACUCACCCAAAGCCAUGCUAAUAGAAGAAAUGGUGAUUCUUGGACAAAGUCUGUCCCAAUCUAUUCAAGGAACUAAUUGAAGACAACAUCCACUAUCAUUCCCGGUACAAUUAUCCCUUUUAGGAUCCUCUUCACAUGGUGUUGUGUGUUUCAUGAUGAAAGCCCAUUACCCAAAGUAGAAGAAGGCUUAGGGAUGAAUGCUCCAAUACCACUAUAGAGAUCCAAAUAGAUCUCAUGAGUUGUAAUGAAUUGAAUCAUGAGAAAUAUAAGGAAAGAGAUAAGAAAACAAAAAAGAAAGAGGAAGAGAGAAAGAAAUGUGAUUAAAACCCUAGCUUCCGUCAUAUGCUUCCUGCCACCUUGCCAUACAUAAUCACUUCAUCAGACAUACCAGCCUCAAGCUUUGCCUCCACUUUGCCUCUGCAAAUCACCUCCUAACAGUAAUCCUUUCCUCCUCCAUAUAGUCACUUGGAAUGUGGCUAAGUAGCAUUUCAAACCAAUUGAUAUACUCAUCAAUCAAAUUGCCUUUCCUCUGCUGUAAAUGUUGUAGCUCAUGCCAAGCAUAUGAAGAAUUGUAGAGAGGCACAAACUCUUGCUUAAAAGCUACUAAAAACUCAUCUAUGGAGAUAAGUGGUCUCUUCAUGGUGCUUGUUUGCUGGACUAGAAACCAUGUGUCAAGAAACCAUUGCCUUGAUGAACUUCCCUUUACCAGGCUAUAUUAGAACAUAAGGAAAGGAUUUUAUACAAGAAAAAGAGAGGAGAAAAUGAAGGAGGGAAAGAAAAAAACUUACCUUCUUGCAAAGGAAACAAACCUAUGAUCAUAUUCCCUCUGUGGCAUGCCACAGGUACAUAUGGGGCUGGAAAGCCAGCCCAUAUCACCUAGGCACUGAAAAACACUCACCAAGACUAGUGUAUAGAGACACCUCUCUUGGAAAAGCCAUGUAUAUCUCAACCCUAAGUACAAACUUUAUAUAUAUAAGAAUAUACCAAUCUCACUAUGCAAUCCAUCUCUUUUUUUUUGUCUUUUACUUUCUUAUUUUUCUUUGUUGGUUUUUGAGCAGGAUUAUGAAAUAUAAACCACAAUGAAGGGCCAUUCAUUUGGUCAUUCCAAAAUCACAAUAUCUGAUGCUUCACAAAUAACUCUAAAUUUGUUUACAAGAUGGUAAGAAGUGGUUGAUGAUUCCUUGGAGGGGGAGGCCACACUCUUCCCAUGGACUUGUUUUGUCCAUAGUUGAAUUAUACUCUAAAAAUCAAUAUAAAAAUGAAGCUUAGUGUAAGUACUUAUAAAAGUACAUUUAUAAAUAAAUAAAUAUAUAUAUAUAUAUAUAUAUAUAUAUAUAUAUAUAUAUAUAUAUAUAUAUAUAUAUAUAUAUAUAUAUAUAUAUAUAUAUAUAUAUAUAUAUAUAUAUAUAUAUAUAUAUAUAUAUAUAUAUAUAUCGAUAUAUGAAUAUUUUUAAUUUAAUUUUUAAAAGGAAAUCUACAUAAUACACUACCAUUUAGCAAUAUUGAGGGCAUAAUUUUAUAAACAUUGAAAUAAUAUUAAAAAACACAUAUUAUCUGUUGUUUUAAUAUUAAAUAUGAAGUUUUUAUUAGAGAUUUGGGAUAAUCAUAACCAUUGAUAAUAAUACAUGUUUAAGAUCAGAAAGUUUUUGAAUCUAUCUAAACACAAAGUUUUCUUUUGAAUAAUAAUCAUUCUGAGUAAAACGGUACAGAAAAUUAGAAAUAAAAAUAGUAGAAAAAAUAUCAGCUAAAACAUUUUCCAUGUGGCAGCUAAAACUUUGCAAUCUAUUUAUUAUUAACUUAAAUGAAUACUAUUAAAUUAAACCAAGAAUACUUUCUUAUUUUAGUUGUUUACACAUCUUGAUAUCAUGGGCUACAAAAUUUUUACAAAUAUUUUAAAUUAAACUAUUUUAAAAGUAAACUAUCUAAAAUAACAUUAUGGUGAUUUAGUCCAAAAUUGUAAAUAAAAAUUAUGUCAUCUUAUAAACAGCUAUCGAUAAUUCCAUUAGCAUUAAGAUUAUAGUAAAAAAGAAAAAUUAGUAUAAUUAAAUUAUGGAAAAUGUGACUUGGAAAACAUAUAAUAACAGAUUUAAUAGACACCUCUACCUUGGGAUCUUUUAUAUAUUUAAAAAACAAUCACAGGUGUUAUACCUAAGGAGGAGCUAAAGCCCCUCCAAAAAAUCACAUCACAGGGGUGGCCCCGGCAAAUAUUUUGCAAAAAACAAUCUCGGAUUUGUUAGGUUUAAAAUUCUGCAUGGCCAAUCUCGUGCCUGCCACGUGGCAGGCAUUCAAUGGGUGACACUCUGUGUUCAAGAGAUUCCUAUGCACGUGGAGCUUUAGUGACCGCCAACCGGCCGACGGUGGUGAUGCACCGAAAUCUGUCUAUAGUCUUUGUAGGGAGAACCACGGCUCUCACUGCUAGGGCUCUGGGUAUGUGCCAGAGAUCCAUCCUGUGUGUGGAGGCGGUGACCUCGCGCUACUAGGGCUUUGGCUCAAUCAGAUCUACGAGCGAGUGCCUGCAUUGAGGAUGGCGGCCAUGCAUCUUCAACUUCAGGCCUCGGCCCAAAUUUCGGUGAGUUUUCCAGUUUUUUCUCAUCUGCAUGCAGCUGAAUCGAUCAAUUUGCGCAGAGCUCAGACAGGAUUUUGGCUAGCCCCUUCAAGAGCUCCGGCUUUUGUCGAUUGCGAAGCCCGCGCAGUCAGAUCUUGGUACUGACACGCACAUUCUUUUGUGCUUUUCCUGGCUUUCCAUGUUUGAAUUGUUUUUGGCUUGUUUUUUCCCCAGGAUGUGUCGGUGAAUCCCAAGAAACGAGGAGUCGGCGUACGUGCUGUGGCUGUACCCAUUCGGGAGGAAGUGCAGACCUCCAUUCCUGG